rnacentral:lncRNA from 1 species
UUUUUUUUUUUUUUUUUUUUUUGUGAGGGUAAAAUUAAUUGUGAAAAAGUAUAUAAGAAAGCGAUAGAUGUAAAUAUGUGUAUUCACGUGAUAAGUUAAGUUAGUGUAGUUUACGCAUUUUCAAUCUGUGCAUCUAGGUUUUUGUUGAAAAAAUCCAACAUACAAAGCAACUAAUUUUCUUUUUAAGAAAGUCAAGCUAUAAUCACGACUUCAUCAUAGCGCUGUACUUCCAAAUUUGCUAAACCACAGCAACUGUCCUGUGAAAACACGUCUAUCCGUGAAAUGAUUCUUGCUCAUCCAUUUAAGCCCUUUCAACUGUGGUUAUACACACAUGUUACCAGAAAUUUCCUUUUUUCAUGGUACUUUGAAAUUUCUAUUGAGAAAUUCGAGUCUGAUAAGCUUUUGAAACUAAACACUUUAUCACGCUGUUGGCAUUACAUGCUUAGACAUGAAGAAAUUGUACACUUUUUUUUCUAUAAAAGUAAAACAUUAUUGUUCGCGAAACAAAAGACAAAUUAAUAACUGAAAACAAUUAUGAUGCUUUUUACACAUUUAAUCAAAAUGCAGAAUCAUGUUUUAUGGUGCGUUUGAUAAAACUGAAGUUUGAAAACUGAAAUCUGAAUCUAUUAUGUUGUUGAAUUGUUAAGUAUUAAAUCUAAUACAUUUGAGUGCAUAUCAUAUUCAGUGAUAAGUGAAUAGUUUAUCACUUAAUUUUGAGUGCAAACUUUGCCUAUGAAAUUUAGUGUCACUUAAUUAAUUCAUAUGUUCAAUUUUUGGUUAUCAAACGAUCUGAAGAUCUGAAUCCAUUGAAUUUAAGUGCCGAAUUGAAUUAUCAAACAGGGCUAGCUAAUCUAGAAAAUUAUGUACUAAUAGACAAGUUUUCUUUAUAACACACCAACAUUAGUCAUACGAGUGUGAAUUUAGGCCACAAAGGUAUGGAUUUGGCAUCACUCUUGUGAAAAAUUAUGGGAACUAGCAAAAGUUCAUUUGAGUUGCCUGUUUCAUUUCAGUGUAGUAAUUUAAUCAAAAAAGUUAGGUAGUCCCUAGUGAACCACUAGAAACCAAGUCAAAAUUCCACUGCCAGGAAUUCAGGUGAGGGACUAAAGUAUACACUAAAAUUUAUUUGGUAUUCAAUGCAAAAACAAGAAUAAAGUGUUUAUGCUAUCAUGCCUUUUUUUUCUGUACUGUUGUCCAUUAUGCAGAAAACAUCUAUCGGAGUUGAACAGAGUUUUAAGUAUUGUGAUCUCACACUCUUACAAUUCACUCGAGGUUAAAUCUGUAUCAUUUCCAUACGGAUAAUUACAGCGCGGUAGUGCAGCAAAGGAGAAGUUCCAUCGAGUCCCUUGCGUCGAAGUAGGCUGAAUAAUCCUUAAUUGUGGUUUCCCGGUACUUGGGUAGUUGGGUGGAUCAUUUUCUGAGAGCAACUCCUUAAUAGGUCCGUGAGCUUUGUAGAUGGCCGGAGAUAUGUGGUAAAGAAGGAUGCCACUGAUACCCUGGGACCAACACGACUGGCUAGUACUCGAUGCCGAGCACUGAGGAACUUGUCGUUGGACACCAGCUGAGAAGUUCAAUCAGAUCAGAAAUGGUUAGUGCUAUUUGAAUUCGUUUCUGCUGACUGCUGAGUGCAGGGGACGAUUAAAGUCAAUAAACUAGUAUAGAUUACAACAAGCGUGACCUUGCCUGCAGAAGGUCCCCAAUAUUGACUACAAGAGCUCCAGGUGUUGGAGGAAACAUCGAUCCACUGGUUCCCGUAAAGAACCUGAAGACCUCCUACAUGAUCCUGGAGAAGCACAGUGAGAAAGUCAUCGUCUUCAUGUUUGCUGGCGCCUAAUGUCAAUUCUGGUUGUGGGCAUGCUGGAUAGUAAUGGCACAAAACAAUAAGCCCCUCCGCACAAUCCAUGUCCUUCAGAUGAUUUGGAUCAAGUCCAAGAGCCUCCGAGAGUAAUUCAAACAGAGAAUAUCCCAAUUUCGUUACUUCCUCUGAGUGCUUGAGUAAAAUUUCACUGCAACCCAAGGAUAAAGGGCAAAAAGAAAACACACACCAAUAAAGUUUAUGAAGAUCUAGAACGUAGCAGAACGAAGCUAAAAUUGAAAAAAUGCUACCAACAGGAUCUGAAAACCUGCAGGUAUCUCAAGUAGUCGUAAUCUGAAUCUUGUAGAAUGACGUACCUGCAGACUGAAGGCAAGUCUUCAGGACUAGGAGGAUUAGGAGCCAUGGCGCAGGUUAAUGUAUCUCUCCAGUUAGUUACUGGUGCACUGUACAAGUCAAAAUUGCUAUCGUACACGACUCUUCUUGAUCCGGGCUCUCUUGUGCACCAUGGCUUUUUGACUUCAGUAUCUUGCUCGUAGAAUCUGCGUACACCAUUUAGCAUCUUCUCAAGAACAUCAUCAGGGAUCCCAUGAUUGAUCACUUGAAGAAACCCCAUGUUCCUGAUGCUUCACGGACUUUUUCAACCGUCUCCUUCCGCUGGGCCGCAUCUUCGUGGAUGCCAUGUAAGUCAAUGACCGGAAACUCAUGCUGCUCGCUAUUGGAAUUACUAGAAGCAUUCAAGUCCUCUGGUGGUCCAAUGAACAUUCGAGGGACUUCCGUGAUGCCAGCAUCAACAAGUCCCUUAACACCAGCUUUGGUGUCAUCAAACGCUUUUAUUUCACGCUUCCUGUCGUACUCUGCUUCAGUUUCAUGGUUAACAUCAUUUCUCUCAGAAGCGACCAUUUUCUGCCCGCAAGGAAAUCAGUGAUCUCGUUCUGAGCAAGGUUAAAGUCUUGGUUAUACACAAAGUUUUCUUGUUCAGAGAAGCCUUGGUGGAUAUGAAUAUCCAUAACGGGACAUGCAUUUUUUCAAUAAGACAAACGAUGACGCAUUCUGGCCGAUUUGGGUUCCGCAUGUGCUGUGGUUGAAAAGUGCUUGUCAAUUACGAAUGCUAACACCAUCCUUGGAACGACAAGUAGCGAACGAUAAAGCGAUUUUCUAGAUGAAUGAAGAAGUAAUCGCAGUUAAGAAAUCCGAGUUAAAUUAAGGCCUAGAAAACAACAAAUUCUCGGGUUAUAAAUAAAAAAUUCUUUUAGCUACACCAUCUACCAACCUAGAAAUAUAGAUUUCUUGUUGGAUGUCCACAAUUUUCACAGCCUAGAAACUGAUCCAAAUAGUUGGAAUAAUACUCGAAACUUCAAGCUACUUCUCUUGAAAAUGGAUUUGUUCGUGGAAGCAAACGUGCAAAAGGCUGGCUUGAUGUUUUUAACUCUUUGUUUAUCCGAUGUUUCUUACCGGGCAGGCCUUCGGUUCAGUGUCUAUUUCUGAUACAAGGGAGAUCAAUAGAAUAAAUCAUACAAGACACACACAUCUUAUACGUACGAAUGGCAAUUACAUAAAUUUGGCUAUGCAACCCUGUGCAAUAUAUGUAGCUAUGCUGCAAGCGAUUCAUGUUAACACUUGCUCGCUCUCUUUGUAACUAAUCAUUUUCGAGGGAAGUUUAGAAGAGAUUGAAACAGGUGAAGGGAACUUCAUAAUGUUCGAUAAACAUAUUUUAGAGCUUGAAGUGCAACCGGGGAGAAAUCGUAUCUAUAUUUUAUCAUGAGUUCAUUAGGCAAUUAAUCUAGUAAAGUCACCUUGAAUUAAAACUAAAAAUAUCACUUUGGUUCAGUGGCGGAUUUAAGGUGGGGGUACGGGCCCACUACCUCCCUUAAAUUCCUACAAUACCUGUAGAAUUUUAAUAUAAUUUCAAGUAUGUCCUCAGAGGUUUUUUUAUGAUGAAAGUGAAAGAAUUACGUGGUCCUCUAAGUUGGUUUAUAAACUAAUAUUCUAAAAAGAUAUGUGGGCUACAAAUUUCUAUUUGAAGUAAACUAAAAAAAAAAGAUUUUUCAUUUUCAAUUUGUUGGUGAAUAUUGUUUUUGCUUAGAAAACUAAAAAAAAAAGAGUAGAUAAAAAAUUUUAAUGUUGUUUGUGUCCCCACUGAAAAUUUUUUCUGGCUCCGCCACUACUCUGGUUCCAAAAACAUUGAAGAGUAACGUUUGUUAUCGAACCAUCAUCUUCCUUAAUAACAGUUUUACACUUUAUCUAAAUAAAAUGAAAGAAAAUGUUAAGAAAUCCUUAUCAAAUUGAAAAAGAAUUAUUUUUAUUGAAGAGCGCAUACAUUAACUAGUCUGAAUAUAUGCUUCGACUUAGGCCUGUCAAUCGGGCCUAAUGAGCCGGGCUUUGAUGAGUUCAAACUCAGCUCAUUUAAUUUGAAACAUUUUCGGGCUUCGGGCUAUGAGCUUCGGAUUCGUAAAUGUGAAGCUCAUACUCAGCUCACAUAAUAUUCGGGUUGUGAGCCUUAAUCGGGCUUAGCCCAAACUCACUUAUUACUCCUUAAUUUUCUUAAUAUAAUUACUAUAACUAUUAAGUUGUAAAACUAAGUUAACAUUUACAAGACUAUAAUAUUAAAACUAAACAUGAACAAAUAAUAGUUCUUAAAAAGUAUAUAAACCAAAAAUUUUUUCAACAAUAUUUAUAUUUAAUCCAUUUAAAAUGCAUGAAAAAAAGUAAUAAAACAUGCGAUCAUAAGCCAAUACAUCUUUAAAAGUUGAAACUUUUUUUAUAAUCUUGUGAUUUAAAUCCAAAUAUGCUUGAUGAUUUUUGUGUUUGUAGACCAAAAAAAAAUCAACCAAUAAUAUGCCAAUACAAAAAUUUACUCAACCAAUAAGAAAAAUUAGAGAUUUAGUUAUGCAUUACUAAUAUUGGCUCUCAAGAAAUCUCAUGAAAGAAUCUUUAGAUGUAUUUUUGUGUUUUGUAAUUUAUAUAUAUAUUUAGUAUUUAGUAAAAAUAUAUUUGGAUAUAUAAAUAUACAUAAUAUCAAAAUAUAAAUAUUAUAUAUAUAGGUAAUUAAAGGGCCGGGCCUAUAUCGGGUUUGAGCCUAAUAAGGCCCAAGCUCGGCUCACAUUUAAUUCGGGCCUAAUUUUUAGGCUCAAGCUCAGACCGGCUCACUAAAUGAUCGGGCUCAUCGGGCUUUCUGUCGGCCGAACGAGCGAGCUCGGGCUGGCCCAGCCCCAUUGACAGUCCUAUGCUUCGUCAUCUCAUUCUAAAUUUGAAAUUUAAUUAUACACUUGUAGCGUACAUACUCCAAAUGACCCCAAAUUAGUUAGUGCACACACUGUUCAGACAAAUUUGCCCAUAUUCUUGAUGGGCCGAGGCCCAGGCCGAAGCCCUAACGUCACGUCUGUUAACAGGCUCGACAGCUCAUCAGUGGGCUACAAGACCUAACGCAGUUUGCCAUGGAGAUGGUCCAGAGUGGGCUACGCAUGUUUGCGUGAAUGAAGGGAGUGGUCCAUGACAACGAAAACUAAAUCCGCCAAAAUGGUUGUUGAAGCCCUAACGUCACGUCUGUUAACAGGCUCGACAGCUCAUCAGUGUGCUACAAGACCUAACGCAGUUUGCCAUGGAGAUGGUCCAGAGUGAGCUGCGUGAAUGAAGGGAGUGGUCCAUGACAACGAUAACUAGAUACGGCAAAGUGGUUAUUGACUUUAUAAUUGUACAUCCCGAAAAACUGAAACAGCUACGGAGAUAGGAAUAUAAGAAGAUGGGCAAUCUGUAAUCUGUAGACUGACCGGUCAUGUAUUAAUGAUCCGAAAGGGCUACAGCAGCAGAGAACACAAUUAGGACAAAGUGAUCAGCCCUCCGUAAUGAAGAAGGGCGUUUGUUUUGCUCUUAAUAGAGGAAUAUAGUAGAUAAUAAUAAAUUAUCAAUAGUAAUAUGAGUUAAACAUAUAAUAAAUAAUGAUUAAUUUGUGCUCAAUAGCUGGACCCUUAGAAGUAGUACUAGAAAGUGGAGAGCAAGAUUUGCUAGUAAGUAGCAUCGACGAGGACGGCCUUCAUCUUCUCAACCAGCUCCUCCAUUUGAGCCCUCGAAUGCAGGGGCGACGGGUAGACACACAGGCAAUCCAGCUUCCCGUCUCGUAUGGUGUCGAAGAAAGCAAUAGACGGACCAGCCCCGUGAAUUGAAGCGCAGCCCAGAUAGUCAUCUAAUCCAACUCCCUUCUGAAUCUGAUUAGAAUUGUCGAUGACGGGUUCCUCAAAAACGGAGAUGAAUGACGUUCUGAGGAUGAUGAAGCAGUCAAGCUGGGGUUCUCGAUGGCUCUACAGAGCAGAAAAUUGAGGUCAGCCAUGUCCGAGAAGUGUUUGUUGCAUUUCUUCGAAUUGUCGAAGGCCAAGUAGCAUCUGGAGGCCAAAUCCCACAAGUUAUCUCCUCCUUUUACUGCAUGAGAGUUGAGGAUGGCACCGUGAUAAAAUCCUGAUCAAAGAGUAGAGUAGAGUAAUUAGUUGGUGCUGCUGCAGCUAGUUUUUCCUUGCGGGCCAUCAAAACAAUCAACAGCUGUGAGAGGGUUACCGAAAUUAUGAGGAGAGAGGGGUGGGUCAAGAAUGGAGCGGCAGUCUGUAAGGGUCAACACCCCGUACUUCUUGCGCUGAUCAGGGCUGCUUCUGGAAGAAUGUGCUGCAAUCAGUGCAGCUGCUGCUAGUGCUCCACACAGCUUUAUCCCCCUCAAUUUGCAUCCCUGCAGAAUUUUUUUUUUUUUUAAAUUUUAGAUUCAGUAUCAUUUACUUCUUCAAUCUUCAAAACUUAAUCCAAAUUGAGCAUUAUUAAUUUUUUAACAUUAAUUAGUAAUAUGGAAGCAGAGACCAAAGCAUCUUGAAAUUAACUUGUAUGGAUCAGGCUACAAAACUUGACGGAUCUAAGCCUCUCAUUUGAGUGACAUCAAUGUACUAAUACCGACCAUUACGAUAUUAUGGUGUCCCUGUAAUGCAUCUAGUCAUGAUCAAGGAAAGAUAAAACUGUUCUAAGACAAAUUCGGUUUCGAAAAUCUUACGAAAAGGGACCUGCAUGGUUUAAUUCAUCUUCUCUAGAAUCCUAUUUGUUAACUGACUAAUUAAUAGGAUUAUAAAACAAGUCUAAGCAGCAUAGACCAAAGCUCCAAACAUAUUUUUUUUGGGUGGGGGGAGGGGGCAGAUCAUGUUAAUUUAUAGUAUUCUCUAAGGUAAAAGAGUAAUGAUCUUACAAGCUAUCGUGUUAUCAACAUCAGAGAAAGGAGCGUAUGAUUUUCAAAACUGUCAUAAGAUCCCAUUUGGGAGUAGCAGCUUGAUAUUAGUAAAACUCUCGAGUAUCAACACCUGGGAACAUUAUGUGCUGGUAAUGCAUUAGACAUGAGUUUUCAAUUAGUAGUUCACUGAAGAGGCCAAAACCAGAUUAGAAGUUUUGAUAAUUGAAUAAGAGUCAAAAUUUCAUCACACUUAUUCGAGAGAGAAGUCCAAGGUUUCCAUCAGAGGGAACAUGGAUGUAGGCCAGACUGACCCCCCCCCCCCCGAGUACUCGGCCUAAUUCAAUGCAGGUCCAGACUGUCCAGUCAAUUAGAGAUUCGGCCGCUACUAAAGAGAGGAAAGGUGAAGGGACAACAAAAACAAAAUCCAACGUUAUGGCUUGUUCUAAUGUCAUUACUGUUUCUUUUGAUCCAACAUUAUGGGCCUGUUCUAUAAGUCCUUGAUUUCAGAGAUUCCUGUAUUCAUUCGUUGUAUGUUUUUAAUAUCGCUUCUAAGUUCUAAUGCAGGAUCAAUGGUGAUUGGCGGAAUGAUAUUGUAAUUUAAAUAAAAUGCCACUUACAACGAGUAUCUGGUUGGUCUCAUGCGGAUUCAUGCGCAGUCUCGCAACCUCAGAAAACUUCGGCCACUUGACAUCUUUGAACUUGAGAUUGGUCAGCCUAAGCGAGUUCACCGAAUAUUCCAACACGUCAAUCCCGUGAGCCCACAGAGUCUUCUUUGCCAUCCCGCUAGGAAUCAGAUCCUCAAUUCCCUGCUGCAUCUUCUCCUGAUAUUUUACCGGACCGAUGUCGGGCUUCUCGCCGCCCUUUGCUUCUUCCUCAAGUCUGUCCCCAGCAAGCUCCAUCAACUCCCUGAGCAAUGUCACGGCCGUGGUCCGGUCACACACUCCCGUGUGAAACCUCAGUGCAAUAAUCCAUUUCGAACCGGGCAGCUCAUAAACACUAGCCAGGAACACGUCCAUGCCACUGCUAGGAAAGUUGUACGGAUUCGCCCAUGCGUUGCUGUUCAGUUCGUUUUCUUGGAUCAUGUGGAGAGGAGAAAUGGAAAACCCGUUACCACAUUUUUCAGAAAGAUUCUUGAGGAGGUGUGAGGUUGUUGAGGCGUCGAACGAUUGAACUUGGAUGUGGGACGUGGCGGGUGUUGUGAAUGAGAAAGCCUUUUUCGACGGAUUGUAGUGAAGCUUCGACCUGAGUAUGGGGUGGGCAUCUUGGAGCUUGCGGAGUGCUUGUUGAAAAAUAGGGAUUUCUAUCGCCUGAGACAGUUGAAGGGUCAACACGGCAACUCCGGUGCCUUGUGAAAGUGCACGACACCAACUGUGCUCCGUGUUGCCCGCCGGUCGGCUUAUGGGCUCGACUCUUUGGCCGUCAUUGUGGUUUUUCCCGGACAUCGUUUGAGAGAGAUGGCUAAGUGGAGACUGUUCUGGAGGAGAUAUAGCACUUUCAGGACAGGAAGUUGACACUUUGGCCCGUUGAGCCUCGUUCAAGAGUUCCAUAUAUAAAGGUGAACACUAGGGCGCUGGUGGAAUAUUGCUGAUUUGGAAGAUUUGGAGGAGUAAAUAUCGCCAUGGAUGUUUGGUGAGUAAAACUUAAAUGACAUUAAUUGCUAGUGGAAAGUUGUUCAACCAGAAUCCUAAAACGGGUAUUUUCUUUUACCUGGGCUUUAACUGUAGAUAUUUACGAUUUAAGACAAUCUUGGCCGAAACUCAUGGCUGUUUCAUCCAAGUCACUUUUCUCAACCUCUCUCGCGAGUUCUUUGCACUUACAACUUCAAAUCGGUGCCACAGCGACCAAGAAUUUACUUGAUUCUUAAUUUUGACGUGACAAGCAUGCAUGCAUGGCUUCGUAAUUAAUAUCCAUCCAUUUACCACAGUUGGAUAAUGGAUAUUUAUGCAGUUGCACAUGUAACAUGUUAGUAUAUUCAGAGGCGCAUAGCAAGGAGUUCAUCAAUUUGACGGUCACCUGCCUCGAUUCUUGCUAAGAAAUUGUUCAGCCCCAUCCUCAAACUUCCAUGCUCAGGCCUUCUCUUACCCUUUCACUUAUACAGUUCAUCGCAGAAAGUUGUGGAGCUUUCUGACACGCACAUGAUGUGCUGCUGUUGUACUACAGAUUAGGGUCCUCAAGAACUAGUUAGCUCUCGUAAUAAAAGGUCAAUGCAGUUCCUGGAACGAAGGACAAUCCCUCGCCCCUGUACCUACGCUCUUCGCUGGAAAAAGGCAGAAUGUAAUUGUGGAGAUCAAGAGUACAAUUUAUGUGGUUGCUCCCCAGUUGUUUGCUGAGAUUAAAUGUCCUUCUCUUAGCAUGUACUCCACUGCAUAAAAGUCUAUGGUCGAAGCUGGCAAGAGCACCAUUCUUAGAUCGGGUGGAUGGCGGGUAGAGAGUCGGAAUAAUGCUAUCGACAACGGUAAUAAAUGACGACACUAAUGGGCAGUUACCUUAAUGAGCUUAGUAACAAAAUGCAGGAGCUAGAUCUAUAAGAUCAAUGUUAUCUCACCAUCAUGUUAUGUUUUUGACUUAGAAAUAAAAAAAAAAAAAAAAAAACUUGGUUCUUCAAUAGUUUUAUUGAUUUGGAGUUAUUUCAUUUCUCUUGCAAUUAAAGACAAAUUUUUUUUUUUGGCUUUAACUUUUUAGAGGGAUGCAUCCGAUUCCAAAUGACAUAUAAAAAUGUACAGGUCGAAAUUGCAGAAAUAAACGCUUUUCAUAGCCAUACUCUAAGGAGGGGGACAGCUCGAGCUAUCCCGUGAAGGCAGAAUACUAGUCACGUAAAAUGGCAAGUUUAUGGGAGGCAGGGGUUGAACCCUGACCUCUAGUAUCAUCAAAGAUGGUGAUGCCCACAAAUGGCCAGCGGCACUUUUCAUGCUUGAUGUAGUGAAUAAAGAGAGGCAAGGAGUUGGUACAUAAUUAAUGUCCUUAUAUACGAGGAUAUCGGAUGGACCCUUGAAGUUAUUUCCACAAUGUUGUCUUCACGAAGAUCAUUUUUUUAUAUAUAAAAAAGUACAAUCGUUUCAUUAAAUAUGAAUCCUAUACAUAUAUAAAAAAGCAGUUUGCAUCUGACUCCUGGGAAUUUUUCAUCUGUCUUGUGGAGGGGUAUUUAAGGGAGUGAAAAAUGACAUGGUAGAUUUUGUGCAAAGAGUACAAGCUAGUUGAUGUUGUAAUAAUAGUGCGUUCUCUAUAUUGCCCUUUUGGCUUAGUUUGUGACAGGUGGUUGGGAAAUGAGCAUUGUUCUCUGGAGAGGUAUUUUGGUCGGAGGCAAGUAGGGAGAAAAUAGUGAAGCCUUAACAUACAGUAACAUGGUAAUACUUUUGCCAAUGUUGGUUGCCUAUAAUGCCCUCUUAAGUCUUAAGUGGGCACAUAGCUUUUAAGUAAUGAACUUAAUGGCUUAAAAUUGACAUAAGAAUGAUAAAGGUUUGUUGAAGAAAACUUUAAUGGAGGGUACUUGGAAAAUCACUUGUGUGUAGAGCUGUAAAUGAAUCGAAUCGAACCGAAUAUCUCAUGUUUGAGCUCUGUUCGUUAAGCAGUUCGAACAACGUUCGUGUUUGUUCGUUAAUUUUCGAACUCCAAACUUGUGUUCGUGUUCGGUUCGUUAAGUAAAAUUCGUGUUCGAGUUCGAGUUCGUAUUCAGCUAGUUUAACAUAAACGAGCCGUUCGCGAACAUGUUCGAAAUGCUCGAAUCCAAAUUAUUUUAUGCUUUAAAUAUGCCAUGCAAAUUAUUAAUUAUUCUUAAAAAUAAUUAAAGUACUAAGUGACUAAAUUCUAUUAUUCAUUAACUAUAUAACUAACAUUAACAUAAAAACAACAAAUAAACACAAAGAAAUUUGCCCUCCAAAUAUAAAAGUCCAGCCAUAAAAUUAACCCUAAAAUUUGUCAAAUGAUAAUUAUGUCUAUGUUCACGAACGUUCAUUAAAAUUCGCGAACAUACUCGUGUUCGCGAACGUUCGUUUAGCAUGCUCGCGAACGUUCGUUAAAACUCACGAACAUGUUCGUGUUCGCUCGAUUAUUAAUCGAACAAAAAAAUUCGUUCGAACUCGGUUCGUUUAAAAUUUCGAACGAGCCUUUCACGAACACGAACGAGCCGAAACGAACCGAGCUAACGAACAGCUCGGUUCGUUUAACAGCUCUACUUGUGUGACCCGCGAAAAAUAGAGUAUAAUCUCAACAACUAGUGAAGCAUUAUUUGUAGUCAAUACAAAUAUUAUUGCAAUACUUUUGAGCUACUAUGACCAAUAACGGAAAUUCCAUGCAUAUUAACGAAUCUUGACUUACAUAUUUGUGAAUUGUCAAUUUUACUUAUUGCAAAAUUUCUCAUUGUAAUGAGCUUAACGCGAGCAAACACUUCCACAGACUAGAGAGAUGGUGGGGAGUGGGAAAAUUGUUUGAAAAUUUUAUUAAGGCCAAACAUGCAAUUUACCCUGUAUUUAGCUUUUUCUUGAGGAAAAAAUAAAAUUGAUUUGAAGCUAGAUCUGCAAAACAAAUUUGUUUUUUUUUUUUUUGGGGGGGGGGGUUAAUUUUGUUGGUUUCCUUCUCCGAGACCAAACAAUUCACGAUAGAAAAGAUGAUAUGAUGUUUGCGAUGGAAAGAUUAACCGGAGAAGCGAAGCCCCAGUUAAUCAGGCCUUGGACCCAUGGACCUAACUUCGUUGCUUAAGAUCAGCCCAUCUACUUAUUCAAGUCUUCCAUCCAACGGGCAACCCAAAAGAGGGCAGAUGCGCCAUAUACAAACCGGAAGGGCGUCAUUGUAAAUAAAACCAUUAUAAUAUUCCGACAGACCAUAAACCGUCGGAUCCAAAUGACCACGAAGAAACCAACGGCGGGAUCAAAGGGCAACAGAGAGAGAGAGCGGCCCAGGAAAAUUCAAAUCCCACUGCUAAAUUCUCUAUCCCGCUUUCAUUUCAGAUUUCACUCAAACCUUUGACACUGAACCGGCACCGUAGGUAGAAUCCAGAUACAGAAAACAGAGAUCUGGGUAACUAGUAAGAAGAUUUCGGUUCUAUUCCAAAUACUUUUUCUCGUAGCCGCUAGAAAACAAUGUCGAGUCGGCAUGAGAAAGAAAAAGGUGUUAAUGUUCAGGUCCUUCUUCGUUGCAGGUACUCCAAAGUGACGCUACUGAAUUGCUAAAUAGGCGCUUUCAAUUUUUAUUUGCCUUCUUAAAGGUGCUUGCGUUAGUGAUGUAGUAGUGUGGUUAAGGGCUUAUUUUUCAUUGGUAUUGUUUAUGGAAAAAAAGUUCAAAUUUUGAACAUCUGAAUGCAAAUUUGCUACUUGGCAGGCCGUUUAGUGAGGACGAAUUGAGGAACAAUGCACCCCAGGUUGUGACCUGCCACGAUUAUCAGAGAGAGGUUCAAGUGUCGCAGAGUAUUGCUGGGAAGCAUUUUGAUAGGGUUUUUACUUUUGACAAGGUAAUUUUGCUCCCCCCCUCCCUCCCCCAACACCCAAGUUACGCGUUUUCUAUCUAGUUUGUUCUGGCCUGCAUCUCCACUUCCAUCGCUUCAAGCUUCGAGAUUUGAGCAUUCCAUAAUUAGGGCUUAGAUUAGGAAUCAAAAUUUUGACUGAUUUCAUGCCUUUUCUUUGAUGGUGAGAGAAAAAUGGAGGAAAGGUUUUAUGUAAUUGUUCCAGUAUCUUUGUUCUCGGAGAUUGGCGUCAGGAUAGGAAUUGUAAUUGCCAUCAUUGAGGGACUCUGAACUUCGAAGACUCUUUAGAACUUGUAACCUUUUAAAAUUUACAGAUUCAAAGUUGAAGACCCCGUUUCUUUUCGUUUUUGAUUUUUGGGAAAACAAACACUUCAGUAUUUUCUAGUUUGCUCGUAAUUUAAUCGUACUUGGUUACCUUUCAGGUUUUUGGUCCAUCAGCUCAGCAGAAAGAUCUUUAUGACCAAGCAGUUGUCCCAAUUGUCAAUGAAGUUCUGGAGGGUUUUAACUGUACCAUAUUUGCUUAUGGGCAAACUGGGACUGGUAAAACUUACACCAUGGAAGGUGAAUGUAAGAGGUCCAAGGUAUUUUGUCGUGGUGUUUAUAAAGCAUCUACUUGCGUUUUGCUUUUGAUUUGGAUUUUCUUGGUUCUCUUAAUUCUCAUGUACUUUAUAACUCUGAAUCACUAGAGUGGUCCUAAUGGUGAAUUGCCUCCGGAGGCUGGUGUAAUACCGAGGGCUGUAAAGCAAAUAUUUGAUACACUGGAGUCACAGAAUGCAGAAUACAGCGUUAAAGUAACAUUCCUGGAGCUGUAUAAUGAGGAAAUUACUGAUCUGCUAGCCCCUGAUGAUUUGUCUAAAGUUGCUUUGGAGGACAAGCAGAAAAAGCAAUUGCCACUCAUGGAAGAUGGGAAAGGAGGAGUUCUUGUGCGAGGACUUGAAGAGGAAAUUGUGACUAGUGCCAGUGAGAUUUUUACUUUACUUGAGAGGGGGUCUGCAAAACGUCGGACCGCAGAAACCUUAUUAAACAAACAAUCUAGGUUGUAACUCUUCUACAGUUAUGGCAUUUAAUAACAAUUUUCACUUCUUUUUUCAAUUUUUAUAUUAAUUUUGUUUUGUACAGUCGGUCGCAUUCUCUCUUUUCCAUAACGAUACACAUCAAGGAAGCAACCCCUGAAGGUGAAGAACUCAUAAAAUGUGGAAAGCUUAACUUAGUUGAUUUAGCUGGUUCUGAAAACAUUUCUAGGUCUGGUGCCAGGGAGGUAAUUGCUUGUUCGCUUUCUAAAUUUUCAACAGCACUGUUGUAGUAUGUUGCAUGGUUAUAUAUUUUGAGCUAGUUAACAUAGUCUGUAAAACUUGAAAAUUAUGCUUUGCUUGAAAUUUCUUGUUUCAAUGUCCUUAGGGUCGUGCAAGAGAAGCUGGAGAAAUAAAUAAAAGUCUACUGACACUGGGACGAGUAAUCAAUGCUCUUGUGGAGCAUCUGGGCAUGUUCCCUACAGGUUCGGUGGAUGGUUAUAUGUUAAUUAUGUUGUUUGUAUAUUGUUCUUGUUCCUUAGGUUCUAACAUACAAUUUUUAUUCUUCGUUCAGGGACAGCAAACUUACACGUUUACUUCGUGACUCGUUGGGAGGAAGAACUAAAACGUGCAUCAUUGCCACAGUCUCACCUGCCGUACAUUGUCUUGAAGAGACCUUAAGCACACUGGACUAUGCCCACAGGGCAAAGAACAUAAAGAAUAAGCCCGAGGUAUGUUCUUUUACCUAUGAACUGAUCUCGUGUGAAUCCAUGUUAGCAAUAAUUUCACCACUUUCUCUCUGUCUAUCUGUUUGUUGAACAAAGAAUACAGGCUUGCAAGUUGUAUGAUUUCGCUGUUAGCUUUCCUUUGUUAUCUGUUGUAUUAAAUGUAUCUUCACCUUCACAGAAAUUUAUUAUUUUUAGGUUGAUGAAUGAAAUUCUUAGUUGGAUGACUUUCUUUUUGUUGAUUGGUUUAUUCCAUUCCUGUGGCAAAGCUGAUAUGCUAUCUUCUUGGUUUUUUAGUGUCGGUUCUGGAGAUGUUUCCUGACUGGUAGUUUGUUUCUGAGGCAGUACAUGGUCUCCUCUAUAUAGAUGAACUAGUUUUCUAUUUUGUAGUUAAGAUAAGAUACAUGCAAGUGCGUGCAUGUAUUCUGUUGUCUGGACAUUGUGCAUGUGUAUAUAAUUUUACUUUGCACCAAUGUUUAUUAGAAUGUUUGUGCCUCAAGGACACUGUUUGGGUAGCUUCAGUUUGCCUACCCAAUUAUUUUGUCAACUAUGAUGAUAUACUUGUGAUUAUCUCUUGAGCGAAACCCUUCUUAAAUGUCAAUAUUUUGUUUCCUUGCAGGUUAAUCAGAAAAUGAUGAAAUCCACCCUCAUUAAGGACCUUUAUGGUGAAAUUGACCGGCUUAAAGCAGGUAAAUGGAAAAUGUUGUGCUUUUUUGUGGUUAGAUUAUUUCUGAAGUGUUUUCUUGCAUUCAUGAAAGCUAGGUUAAGUUUCUUGACUUCUGCAGAGGUUCAUGCUGCACGUGAGAAAAAUGGAGUUUACAUACCGAAAGAGCGUUAUUAUCAGGAAGAGAGUGAGAGGAAGGUACUAUAUUGGGUUUAUCUUAAUUUUCAAACUUAGUGUAGAUUCGUUUUCUACUUUUAUCAGGUACGAUAUGCUAGCAUUUUAUUGUACGAUAAGUUGUUGUGGUCUAUUUUAAGUUAGCCUUUGUUUUCUACAUUUUGUAUUUCUAAUUUUUUGUCUAUAGAGUACAAGUUGGGUCACAGCUAGGUGUAAGAUCAAGAUAUCAUUUUUUGUCUCGUACAUUUUUUGUUUCGUUUCCUCCUUGCUUGCUUUAAUGCAUUUGGAUCAACUUGCUGAUCGCUUUCAUAAUCUCUUUUAAUUGCAUAGGCAAUGGCAGAUCAAAUUGAACAAAUGGGAAUAACAAUAGAAAACCAUCAGAAGGCAAGCUUCAUUUCGAAUAGCUAUUGUAUUACUGUUUCACUCCAGGUGGCUACUGUAGCAUCAUGAUCCCAAUUCUUUGUUGUCAAUGAACAGCAACUUGAGGAAUUGCAAGCUAGAUACGAUGCUCAAGUUCAAGAGUGCUUAGACUUGAGGACCAAGCUAGAGAGUACCCAGGUUACUCUUUGUUUACAAAUAUUGUGUGCUGUUUCUAGAUGUUGAAGUACUAAUUGAGUUGUUUUGCAGAAAGAUUUGUACAGAACCACCAAAUUGUUGGCUAUUACAGAAGAAGAGUUGCGAAGAUCCCAAUAUACUCUUGAGGAACGAGACUAUUAUAUAUCUGAACAGAAGAAAGCGGGUAGGUUCAUGGAUGAUUGUAUUUCAAAUGGUGCUUUAAUUCUCUCUCUCUGAACCAUGUCUGGAAAUUUCAACAGAAAAUGCACUGGCUCAUCAAGCAUGUGUCUUGCGGGCUAAUUUGGAGAAAGCUCUUCAGGAUAAUGCUUCAUUAUUAGCAAAAAUUGGUAUGUAGCCUCCUUAUGGCUAGUGUUUUAUGAGCCUUUACACUGGAUACCUCAUAUACCACUCAUCUUCAAAUGAAAUGAUUGCUAUAGCUAGAGAGGACAAAUUGAUUGCUGACAACCGGUUCGCUGUGAACAACUUUCAAUCUGAGCUUGCACAGCAAGUUAGUUCCCUCUGUAGAAUGGUAACUGGAUCAAUUUCCCAGCAAAAUGACCACAUAGAGUGUGUUGAUAAACUCUGUCAUUCUUUUCUUGAGUCACAUGAAAAGGUACUUUUAGAUUUCAACUUGCAAGAACUCUUAAUGUUCAUUUGGCUUUCAAUUCUUUGCUUUGUUUCUUUUGUGUCCAAUGAUUUAAAAUAUUUGCUUGUAGGUAGCAUAUUAAGAAAAAGUUAAGUGCCUCAAAGGCUUCGUUUAUCUCCCACUUUGAGGCUAUGCAAAAUGUUGUUCGACUGCAUGGAGCUACAUCGAAUGCUGCUUUGGAGGAAAUAUCAGCUUUGGCUUCUUCUGAUGCAGAUUCUACUGAAGAAGUAAGAAACAUUAUUUGAUCUACUAAGAUUUAUAUUUAGCUGGAUUGGCUAAUUGUUCUUAUUCAAAAUUUUUGGACCUGUGGAUAUAGUUCUUAGCUGCAGAUUCUGUUGAAGCAAAGUCAGUUUUUGACAAACUUCAGGAUACACUAUCUACACACCAAGGGGAAAUGGCACAUUUUGCGAGGGAACUUCGCCAGGUUUGCAUCUUAGCUUAAGGAGGGCAUACAUUUACCUUUUGUUUGGUAGUCCUCUAUUGUUUUCAACUUGAUGUUUCUACUUUGCCGAUUGAAUUGCAUACAUUUGGUUUGCGCCUGAGUGCACUUUUAUUAUGGCUCUUUUAGUUUCAUGUUAUAGUUGACCUAUUCUAACCCACAGAGGUUUAAUGCUGGUGUUGAGCAUUUGACAAGUACAUCGGAUGGCAUACAUGGCUUCCUUGAAAAACUCAUGGAAGAAUCUAAAAGGCUUGAAAGACAUGCAUCUCAGAUUGAUGAAGUUCAGACAAACAGUAUUGCUGAAUUUCAGAAGGCUUAUGAGGUACAUUGUAAAACCUAAAAACUGAAACUGGGAUUGUGAAUUGAGAUGCUUAAAUUUUUGGUCUGAUUGUAGGAACAAUCCAGGUCUAAUGCAGAGCAGCUCAUUGCUGAUAUGACAACACUGGUUUCCACACACAUACAGCGUCAAAAAGAGCUGGUUUGUUGUGAUUUUUUCGUUUUGGUGCCUGUAGGCUUUCAUCUUUGUAUUUGGAUUGAUGGAUAAACUCAACAGGUAGAUGCAAGACUUGUCAAUCUUAGGGAGACAGUUACUGGAAAUAAAACAUUUUUGGAUGGGCACAUUUCUUUGGUGGAUGGUAUUACUACAGAAACAAAAAGAAAGUGGCAGGAUUAUUUCAUGCAGGCUGAGAAUGAUAUAAAAGAUAGUGCUGACUUUUCUGCAGCUAAACAUUGUCGGAUGGAGUUACUUUUUCAGGAGAGGUAUGAAAUGUUGAUGGCUAUGUUCUUGGACUGUAAUUUUUCUUUCUACAUGGGAAAUACAAUCUUUGUUUUUCCUAUCUGGAUAAAGUGUUGCUUUAAAAUUUAUAUUUAUGCUCUUGUGGUGCUCUUUUACCACUUUAUUUGUACUUUCUUUAGUCUUGCUUUUCUUUUGAAUCUAGUGUAUCGACUACUCAAGCAGCAAUCAAGAGGUGGGAGAAAGCACAGGAAUCUGUUACUGAGAUGGGCAGUCAACAUGUCACUAAAAUGGCUUCACUUGUUAGGUCAGUGCCAAACUUUGGUGACUAUCUUCAUUUGUGAAAGGAACAGUAAUUAAGGCUUCUAAAAUAAUCGAAGAAAUAGGAAAGUUAAAUGUUGGUUAAUAAGGAAGGAAAGGCAUUGUUUUGCUCAAGUAUGUUAGUUCUUUUCCUCCCUUAGACAGAGCUUUUGUGUUGCCCUUAGCAUCUGUGCUUUGAAUUGUCUCCUUCAAACAGCAACAAAAAAAAAGUCACUAGUUGACACUCAGAUCCAAUUAAUCUUAACCAGAAGCUGGUUUUAAAGAUCAAAUCUUGCAAAUGUUAUUUUGGAUCCUGUUUUGGUAAUUUGGAGUUGGACAGAAAUUAGAGAGGGCCCAGGUUUUGGCCCGGGGGGGGGGUUGUUACUGUUAAAUGAAUGCAUCCUGGACUGUGCAAUUUCAUGCAACUGAUUUGCUUUUUUGUGGAUGUGGCAGUCUUUAGUUACUUGAAACGUGCAGAACAUUUAGAGGCAGAUAUUAAAUAUGUUUGCUAUUGAUUGCUUGAAAGAUGAUUAAUAAUGGCACUGUAUCAAAUAGAUUUUAAAACUUUUUUUACAGGAAUCUCUGUGACGGUAAUGAGCAACAUUUGUCUGAGAUAGACUCUGCAAGAAUUGCAGCUGAAGUGGAUGUAGUCAGAUCCAAUGAAGACACAAUCCAAUGCUUUAAUGGUAAUACUCGCAAACUAUUACUGCUUCCAAUACCAGAUUUAAAACUGUGAUUUAGAUUGUCAUUUAACUGAUAAAUGUCUGUAAAUGCAGAAGAGUCUGUAUAGCAUGUCAUUUGUUUUAAAAAGAUACAUGUCUGUGUCAUUUCUGUGCCAUUUACAUAUUUUUAGUUAGUGUUGGAUGUCCACAAAUCUUGGCUGACCUAAUUUGUUAAUAUUCCCUGUCAGUUUGUUUUCAUGCCAAUAAAUGAGGGGGAGUUUGUGAUGAGCUUUCCUUCAUUCUGGCCAUUUUUCUGAUCUUUUGUGGACCUUCAAACAAAGGAAUUUAAUGUGGUUAUUGUGAGGUACUAGGAUGCUUGCACUAAGCACUUAAAUCUUUAAAAGUCACCACAGAAUAUUGAGAUCUACAAUCAGAAUUGCAAUUUGCUAAAGAAAGGAGAGAAUUUUAGUGACCAAGCCAAAGUAUAGCAUUUUGUUGAUCUUUUAUUAGUGUUUAUGCCUGUGUUGUAUGGCAUGACUGAUGAUAGAUUCAAAACAAGCCUAGUUUCAGCCUGACUGACACUGUGUUAUAUAUGACUCCACUCAUUUAUCGCAAUAUAGCCAUGCAGAUUACAAUUUGUAUGUGCAAAACCAGCAAUGCAAGGGCAGAUCACUGGUAGAACAGAGAUUUUAUUCUUUGCAUUUCUGAAAGUAAUCUGUCUGGUAUAGGAGGACCUUAUUUAUUACUUUUUGUGCAUGUAUAUGUACCUUAACGGGGUUGUUCGUGUGAUUUUUGAAUCUUAAGAAUUAUGUUGAUGCUUGGUGAUUGCUCUUUUGCUGAAAAUUCAGGCGUGUCAGAGCAAGAGAGGAGGUCUGUAUCUGAAAUUCUGACAGCUUCAAGAGCUCAUUCUGAGACGCUUGAGAAACUUCAGAAUGAUCAUAAUAUGCAGUCUGCCGUCAUAGGACAAAAGGCUAAUGAAGCCUUCAAUGAGCAGUAUAUGGUAUGAUGAUUAACAACUUGUCUAUCGAUAUCUUAAUUAGUCCACUUGUCUAUAGAUGUUCAAUAGGCUUCACUCUUCACUACAGUGAGAACUGUACGCUUUGCCUGAAUUUAUUUCUUCAUAACUUUUAAUUGUGAAGUAAGCCAUCAGUUUCUGGCUUGAUGCUGGAUGCAGUCAGAGAGUGAGAGAGAGUAGUGACGAGACCAAAGCUGACAGCCUUUGUUACUUCCCUAGCCGUUUGUAAAAGUUUCCCUGUUUGGCUAAGGGUAGGACUUUUCUAAGUUUGAUUCUCCACUAGACUGAUAUAAUUGGAUGAGUAUUUUCUCAAGUAGCAUAAGGUACUGCACUUUGAGGUUUCACAGUUCCCCUUUGUGUUUAUACAAAAUUAAGUCAAGCAGUCAAGGAACGAGAUUUGGUAAUCUCAAGCUCAUAACUAGUAAAUGAAGAGCAUGGCGUUCUUCACUGUUUUCAUUUUGAAUUUGCACAGAGGAAAAUGCUAUAUAAUUCAGUAACGUGGGUUUUUUGUUUAAUGUGGUGGGUUAAUAAUCGUGUCAGGAUUAUGAACCAGCGGGCACAACACCAACUCGGUCAGAGCCAGAUGUUCCUAGCAAGAGUAGUAUUGAAGCACUUCGGGCCAUGCCGAUGGAUACCCUUCUGGAGGAAUUUCGGGAAAACCAUUCAUAUGAAUCUUUUCGAAGAAAAGAAGCAAAGCCGUCUCUUGUUCCACGCUCCCCUCUGUCACAGAUCAAUUAACAGCAUCAUGGUUUCUGGCUUGGACAUGUUUUUAUAUUUUGUUUUGUAUCUGUAUGUGUCAUGUAUACCUUUACUAUCAUCUGCAAUUGAUACAUGCAGAACAGAAAUUGGUCUUAGGAUUUGUAUUAUUAUAGGCUCAUCAAUUAUAAAUAAUCCCUGCUUGGGAUUAAGGUAAAAGUUGUAUAUUGUGGGGAGUCUCGACAUUCAUUUAGAGUACUUGCAUUUGUUUGUUACGCAUCUUGUUUCAGUCAGAGUUUCGGCAAAGUCAACUAUUUUCCUUUCGGGUCGGGCCACCAAAAAACCCGGCUUCUAAUUUGCCAUGCACCAAAAAAAAUGUUACAUUUCUGUGGCUUGUUUUCAAAAAAAUUCAGGCGGGUGUGCUGUGCAUCCGUCUAGUCCGAUGGUGAUUUAGUUUUUUUCGGUUUAUUCCUGGGUUUCUGUAGGUCCCGUUCCUUUCUCCUUAGUGUAAGAUAGAUUAGGUUUAUCGUUUCUCGAAAAAAAAUAAAAAUUGCCAUGCACUCUUUGUAUCAAGUUCAGGUACUUUUUAUAAAUAUGAUUUUAACCUCUAAAGCUUUUGUUAAAUUUUUGAAAUUCUAUUUUGACUACAGAACUUUUGAUAAACCUACAAAUCUUUUAGAAAAGAAAACUAAAAAAAAUACAAAAACAAAAACUAAAAAGGGUUGAUUUUAUACAAGAGGGUAUUUUGAAUAUUUCAAAUAGUGUGGGUAAUUCAGCCGGAUUUAAACGGCAAUUCUAGAUGGCACUCUGGUGCGGCACUCUUCCAAAUUAAUGGGAGCUUUUCCUAUUUUGUUAUUCAAGACAAAGCAGAAAAAAGAUUUCAUUAAAAUCCUCCUCAUAAGAAGGCUUGGGGUUGGUUAAGGCCAAAUUAAAAAUGGCUUCGCCGGGAGUUCAUAACCAGUUUUACAUUGUAAUGGUUUCAACACUCGUUUCUUUAGGGACAGGCUGUUAGUUAAUCGACUCCUAGGAACGAAUGUUCAAAUUUAAACACCAAUACCUUUUGCCCUCUCCUAAGUUCGGAAGAGUUGGCUUACUUUCAGCAGGUCCUGGCAGUCCUGCUACUGCAACAGUCGAAUCCUUGGACCAUCCGAAUGAUGAUGAUCCAGAAGCUUUCCCAACUCAGGAUCCCGCCAUUUUAGAAACAUCUAACACUCAGUCUUGGCAAACAUUGGACCCAAGUUUUUAUCUUUUUACACUUCCCAAAUGUAAAAACGUACACCAGCUCAAACAAGUUCACAACCAAGUAACUGUGAACGGACUGCUUAAAAAUCUUGUCAUUGCUAAUAAACUUCUUUACAUGUACACAGCGCACAGGGCUGUAACUGAAGCUCAUGGUUUGUUUUGCGGAAUUAAGGAGAAAAAUUCAAUGUCUUGGAGCGUUAUGGUUGGUGGGUUCGCGAAAAAUGGGGACUGUGUAGAUUGUUUUAGGACUUUUAGGGAAUAUAUAAGGUCAGGGAUCAUCCCGAUAACUAUACAUUGCCCUUGGUGAUAAGGGUUUGUAGAGAUACAACCGACCUCCAAAUGGGUAGAUUGAUUCAUCAAAUUGUACAUAAAUUUGGAUUGCAUUCUGAUCCUUUUGUUGCUGCAGCCCUUGUGGAUAUGUAUGCGAAAUGUAAGGUUACCGAUGAUGCCAAGACGAUGUUUGAUACAAUGCUUGAAAGGGACCUCGUCACUUGGACGGUCAUGAUUGGGGCGCAAACUGAAUGCGGAAGCGCAAACGAGGCCCUUUUGUUGUUUGAUAGGAUGCAAGAAGAAGGUAUUGUCCCGGAUAGCGUUGCUAUGGUAAAUGUUGUUAAUGCUUGUGCCAAAUUAGGGGCUAUGCACAAGGCUAGGCUUGUUCAUGAUUAUAUUUCUAGGAAGAAAUUUUGGUUGACUGUGGUUCUAGGAACUGCGAUGAUUGAUAUGUAUGCCAAGUGUGGGUGUGUGGAAUCUGCUAGAGAGAUAUUUGAUAGAAUGCGAAUAAAAAAUGUAGUAACUUGGACUGCAAUGAUUGCGGCUUAUGGAUAUCAUGGGCGUGGUAGAGAAGCUCUUGACUUGUUCUCUAUGAUGUUAAUGACUGGGAUGGUGCCUAAUAGUAUCACUUUUGUCUCAAUAUUGUAUGCUUGUAGUCAUUCAGGAUGGUUGAAGAUGGGCUUAAGCUCUUCUCCCUUAUGCAAGAAGAGUAUGGUGUUAGACCAAAUGUGAAACAUUUUACUUGUGUGGUUGACCUCUUGGGCCGCGCUGGGAGACUUGAUGAAGCCUCGAGCUUAAUCAAGAAUAUGGCCAUUGAAAAGGAUGAGGGACUAUGGGGCUUUACUAGGGGCAUGUCGAAUUUAUGGUCAUGUUGAACUUGCAGAAGAGACAGCAAGAUCUCUUCUUGAAUUGCAGCCUGAAAAUGCUGGGCAUUAUGUAUUGCUUGCUAAUAUAUACGCCAGAGCAGGGAAGUGGAAAGAUGUUGCCAGGAUUCGGGAACUAAUGACCCAUCAGAGAUUGAAAAAAGUUCCUGGUUGGACAUGCAUUGAAGUGGAUAACAAAAUCCAUCAAUUUACCGUUGGAGACCAUUCUCAUCCUCAGUCGAAGGAGAUAUAUGAGAAGCUAAAAUGUUUGUGCAAUAAAUUAGAGCUGGCUGGCUAUGUUCCCGACACGAAUUAUGUGUUGCAUGAUGUUGAUGAGGAAUGGAAGCGAGGAAUCUUAUACACACACAGCGAAAAGUUGGCUAUCACAUUUGGUCUCUCUGCAACUCCUGAGGGAAGCCCUAUUAGAAUUACAAAGAACCUGAGGGUUUGUGGUGAUUGUCACACAUUUAUUAAAUAUGUUUCAUUAGUGGCAAAUAGGUUAGUUAUUGUGCGAGAUGCAAACAGAUUUCAUCAUUUCAAGGAUGGUGCUUGUUCUUGUGGAGAUUACUGGUGAUUGCUGUUUCCACGUUGGUGGGAUGACUCCUCCCUCACCCUACCUAGAAUACUUUGUUUGUGACUAUGUGGAUGCAAAAAUGGCGUCUGUUGCGAAAAUUUGAAAUUUGAGGGUUGUAUACAGACUCGUGGGACACUCUAUGCAGAGCUUCUGCAACUGCUGUUGAUGUGCACUUCUGCCACUGUGAACGCUAGCUUGGUUGCCUUCACAAUCUUGUGGUCCUUGACGCCGGGCCUCUAGUUGAUUUUAAGUGAUAAAUAUAUUGUGUACAUAGUUAGAGCUAUACUAGCUCCUUGUUUUGACGUCUUCGUUGUCUUCCAAAUGCCUAAAAGCCCCAUGUGAUCACAUCAUUCUGCUAUACUGCACAUGAGUGUUCCACUAACAGAACAAACGAGGAUAUCUCCACAUAUCUGCAUGAUGUUGGUAAGGAACUCGAACGAGGAAUCUUAUACAUUCACUCACAGUGAAAAGUUGACAUUGCAUUUGGGCGCUCCUGAUGGAACCAUAUUAGGAUUACUAAGUAUUUUAGGGUCUGUGGUGAUUGUCACACAUUUAUUAAGGAAGGUACUUGUUCUUGGGAGAUUGCAGGUUAAUGCUGUUUCCCAUCUGUGUAUCUUACCCUCAUCCAUAGUGCUACAACUAAAAAAUCCAUCAUUAGAAUGCCAUUCUUUGUGAUUAUAUUGCCCGAGAAAUGGUAUUUGGAACAGAAAAUUUGGACAGCUUGUACAGAUCUUAUGGCCUAUUGAAAUUGGCAGUCCAUGUACAGCUUCUGCCACUGCCGUUAAUGCGCAGUUUUGCUACCAUGGAUGCUAGCUUGUUUGACUUUCUCUAUCUUGUGGUCCUUAACUGGCAGGCCUGCUAAUUGAUUUUGAACUGUUGAGCCCAUAUGCGUCUCAACUUCAGGAUGGAUCAGUUUGGAUCCAUACUUUCUUAAUUGACUUCCAAAAACACAAGUCAAAAGCACCAUGUGCUGAUAUCGUUAUCCUACUCCGCUCUCUACAUGUUUCUUCAACCAACAGAACACACAGUCAGCAUAUCUCUUCAUACCUGCUCUGGACCAUCUUCCAGGUACGCAAUGUUAAAUUUUUACUGCUGUAAGAUAUUUGCAAGAGUCUAGUAUCAAAAGCCUGGUUAGGCCUUGCUCAUGUACUCUAAUUUCUUACCAUAGUUGACCUAACAUUCACCAUCCGUCAUAGGUCUCUGUCUUUGGAAUCCACAAGGAAUUACUACUCCUGAUUGAAGUGAUAUGUACAGAAGCUUUGACAUGUUAUUGCACCCCCAAUUAAGCGAAGUUGUAAAAGUCCAUGUUCGUUUAAUUGCUGGAUGGACUGGGUGCUUGUAUAUGUGUGCACCGGUCACUCUAAGCAUUGGCUAUGCUGCAUUUGCAAAUGUAGUACACAAUUCACUGGGCUGGUCUUGAUUCUUGAAGGAAGAAACAUUACAACACUGAAUAUAGCAAUUGGCUUUGCUGCACUUUGACUUAGUGGGCUGCAUAAUGCAGCCAAACCUAACUUUUCCUGUACAGUUAAUGCAGUCGCAUUUUCCCUGAACUUCCCGAUACAUGAAAGACUCUGACGUCAAGAGCCCGCAUUCAUUCUUUGGCUUCCCCCUCCCCAGAGUACCAAUUUGUAUUCCGAACAUAAGGCUUUACAUAUCUUGUAAUUAGUGGAAAUUCAUAUGUCCCGUCAUUUUCUCUGACCAAAAUUGCCCUCAUUUAAAUUUCCUUAGUAUGAAUAAUCAUAAAAAAUUUUUAAAAGGCAAAACAUCAACAAAAGUGCAAGUUUGGGGUAAUAAUUUUAGACAGCCUGUCAAAUUAUACUUUAUCGUAAUCUAGUAGCUUUUUUAUGCUUAAUAAUAUGAAUAAUUGGGUUGUUGGCAGUGAUAAUUGCUUCCAUCAUCAUCAAUAGCAAUAGCAUAUCUGAAUGAAAGAAGGAAGGAGACAUCUAUUUUGAUUAGCAUAUUUGAGUGAUAGAAGGUUGUAAUUUAAUGGAUAUGACUAAAAUAGUUUGGCCACAAUAUAUGGCCUGGUCAAGAAGAAUUGCUUUCCUUUUUUUUGUUAUCUUUUCCCUUUUUUUUAUCAAUGGCUUGUCUUUUGAAAAAUUAUGAAGGUUAUUAUAGUCAUUGUCUAUCAUCAAAUGAGGUAAGUGUAAUAUUGAAAACUUCAAGGGAGUUCAGUGAAAAUGUUAGAGAGGUUUCCAAUGGGAAACUGAUGGUGCAUCUCAUACUUCAAUCUUUAAAAAAAUAAAAAAUAAAAAAAAAUCCAUCAGCAGUCAGUAAAGACCUUAACCGAAUAUCAAGUUGCUCGAAAGGUCUGGAGUGGGGAGACGUGGAUCGCGAAGGCAAAUCUAUUACCGGACUCAGAUAUGUUCUAAAUUUUAUGAGAGGCUACGUGGAAAUGUAAGAAAUAAAAAUCCAAUGGAAACCAAGACCAUUUCUGGAUUCAUGUUUCUUCGGUCGAGUAAAAACGCGAAUCAAGUCAGUGGAGGAGGGUACAAUGCCGGUUGUGGAACGCUGAAAUGGGCGGCUUGAUGUUGUCUUACUCAUUUGAUGUUGGAUCUUUAUGAAAAUGCGCCCACCUCACAUCUUUUUCUAAGGCCAGAAACGUGCAAGAUCAUUACAAGAAUCAUUACAAGAAUACGUGUAUGUAGAUAGAUGCAUAUAUUAUCGGGCAGGUAGUGGGGAACUGGGAAUGUGCCUGGGACAAGUGUGUUUUGAGGCUCUUUUCGGCUGGAGAGGGUAGAGAGUUUCACUUUAGGGAAAAGCCCGUGGAGGACCAUUGUAGUGAAUUCGGUAUUUGUCCAAUCUUUGUCCCCAGUCUGGAGAGGUCUCCAAAUGGCUAUGGUGGGUAUCGUUUUUCGGCCUCCAAAUGGCUUGGCUUACCCUUCCAAGAAUGCAUCAUAUAUGUGAAGACAAAGACCCAAAGACCCUUUUGUGAUCCGCAGCUGUGGGGGUACACGCAUUUUAGUGAAGAAACCUGCAGAAAAAAAGAAUUGCAGAUUUCGGACGAAUGCUUCAGAAGGAAAAUGCCAUUUUAGUGACAAGGCAUGCAACUUUUGUCAUUUCAACUUCAGUGAAGGGACCCCAACUUUUAUCAUUAUAUAUAUUCACCAACCGAAUGCUAUUUAUGCAUUAAGCAGUUGUGUACGAAUAACAAGGUUAUAUAUAUAAUGAUAUAUCAAGUUAUGUAUAUAACACAUACAACAACGUUGUAACUGCAUCAAAAUGCUUGCAUUUGUACUUUGUAGAUGUGAUUUUGUAUUAAUUGGAGCUGCUAAGCAUUCAUUUUACUCAGACCAUGCACCCGAAAAGGUUCUACUGCCAAGUGUUUGUUUUCUCACAUCAUCAGUCAAUUAUUAUCUACCGGUCGGUGCUUAGACCUUCUUAUACGAGAAACAUGGAGCAUCCGAAUUAGUUAGCACUUGCCGGAGGCUAGGAGAGUAGGAAGAAAUUCGUUAUAUGAGGGGGUGAAUGUCGCCAUGUAUCACAUAAAUGAAGAAGCAUAUGCAAUCAAAAAAUAAUAAUAAUCCAUGGGCCUAAUUAUUCAUCAAUCGUCAAUUUAUAUAUAUGUGUGUAUCAGCAUUUGGUUCCUGCAGCUGGCGACUGCGAAUGCUCACCCAACCUUUUUGUCAGAAAUCAAGCCGCAAUCAAAUGCCAACACAACGACAUGCACCGCAGUUACUAGCGAAGAAAUGAACAUUACAAACUUUUUCUGGGGUCGUCAUUUUCGAACUAGAAAGAUGUAUGUAUACUAUGGUGGUAAGAAUGAUAGUGCUCUCCUCUCACUCAUUCCCCCGGAACGUUUCCACAAAUACAAUGACCACAUAAGCACUUUAUCCGUGCCCACAAAUUCUUCCACUUCCAGAAAAGAUCAACGUAAAUGCAGAUGGUAGGAAAGGAGGUUUUUUUCUUUUCUUUUGGUGGGGGGGGGGGUUGGUGUAUUUCUUCACAUUAGAGGGGUCGGUACAAUAAUGUUUCCAAAUUCCAUUAUCGUUUCCCCCCAAGGGUUUUCCGAAAUAAGUCUGUUAGUACCAAUUUUCUCGUGUCUAGAGUAAAACUUUUGGCUCCGCAGAUCGAUCUACCCAAUUUCACAUACUAUACAAAUGCUGAGAUAAAGCCAUGGGCAAAAGGAAAAAAGAAAAAAAAAAAAUUCAUGCUAGGGAUUUUAACAACUUUUUCAUCCAGUAAAUUUGCUUUUCAGUGUUUGGUGUUUAGUAGAGAUCGAUCUAGGUUCUUCAUCCAGUACUAAUUUCAGCUUCUUGUUCCUAAACGUUAAGAUGUUUCUGAAUUCUUUGUGUUGAGCGAACCACACCAUACAGUACACUAUUCCGAAAUGACUGGAGCUUAAUGUGGCGUAAAAAGAAAAAACUGGAGCUUAUCGUUUCCAAUAGCCAGUACAAAAGCAAUGGUAAUGGCUGGCUAUCAUCAUAACUAGUUAGCGACUCGUACAAAAUAUGUUUGUACAAAAACUUUCUUUUUUUUGGAUUGCUUCAGGGUUAAUAAAAUAAAAAUAUGUUCUUUUUUUAAUGCAACAUGACCUCAAUAAGGCCAUUUCAUUACAUUAAGGAUUUUUAUUAAAUAUUUGAUCAUUCAAAGGGUGAGACUGUUAUUUGGACAAAUUACGGAGAUUGAUUGGUAAUAUGGUCAAACCUCAAGGGAGGUAAAUGUAAUUAACCCUUUAAUUUAUGUGGUUCAUCUCAUAUAAAAUCUUAAUCUUUUUUUUUUUCCACUCAAUGAUUUAACAAACUUUCAUUAAUUAUUAAGCUCUUGGCGAGUAAGAAAACUGAUUUUGGGAGAAACAGUGGCAAGUCUUUAUCCAAAUAAUCAAAAUUUCCCGAUUUUUUUUUUUGCAUCCACUCAAAAUCCCUGUCCAACUAAAGAGAGAAUUAAAUUAAUAUAUCCGUCGUUAAUUGUCUUGCUCUCUCCCCGGACAGUCCAAGACGUACUUCUGUCUGUCUAUAAAAACCGAAAACAUAUAUUCAGGAAACCGUGAGUGACACUUUAGAUUGUAAGCAAGAUGAAGUGCUACUACUGUGAUCAUGAGCUUGUGCGGGCUUUGUCACUUGUUUUCGUAUGUUUAUUGCUAUCACUGCUAAGCAUUAAGAAGGUUGACGCGUCGCACCAGGUUUAUCCCGAAUAUCAAACUCUACCUGCUGUGAAGGUGAAGCAAUUGGAACACAGAACCCACUAUCAUUUUCAGCCUCAAAAGCAUUGGAUCAACGGUACCUCUUCUUCCCUGUUAACUUCCAUUCCACUUUCACUGGUAGCCAAAUGAAGCAAAUCCCAGUUCACUCGAAAACAUUUUGUCUUUCCUUACAUCUAGUUUUCUUCUUUUUUUUUUUUCUUUUUUUUUGGGGUACUUCUGUCCUGCUAGCUGUUCCGCCUCUCGCAACAAGUUAAGCCCUUGGUUUUUUUUUUUCCUCUCUCUUUUUGCCGCCCACAGGCCACAGCAGAGAGGCAAAACGACAGUCUUCCUGGUGCAUGCGGCUUUAUAUUCACCCUUUUUCCUGUUAUUGUUUUCAGAAUAUAGGAUGUACCAGUCCUUGACAUCUAAUAUGUUUCGUGAUUAAUUUGCAUGUACUUUUCCUGGUUUUCAUGGCCCUAUGAAUCGGUACACUGUUACACAUUCAUUCCGUCAGUAUUAUUUUGUAUAAAGCCAUCUGUUAAUAUUCUAUCAUUUCUUACAUAAUCGUUAUGUCGGUGGGUACAGAGUAGAGAGAGCAAACGAUAUUCCAAUCCAAUCCAAUGCAUAGAUGCCAAGGUUGAAUGGGCUUCAUGCAUGUAUCAGAUCUCGGCUAAACUGCCAAAUGCUCCCUACAUCCCAUAUCCCUGCUCAUCAUAUAUCCCCUCAGCUUUUGGGCUUCCACACAACCAACCUACAUCCUCAGACAAACAAUCUAUCCAGCUAGAUAUGAUCAGUUGCGUUUUCGUAUUAUUCUGUGCUAUGCUUUAGGCUUAAGCGCUGCUUGUGUCAAAUGCUGCUGCAUAAGUCAUAACUCUUGGGUACUGGUUGGUAAUAAUAUGUGUUUGCAAAAGGAAAACUAAAUUACCAAAUGAAGAAAAAGAAGAAUAUUCACUAAUCAUUUCGAUUAGGCAACGCCAUGUAACUUUCAAGGCUAACAUCAGAGCACAUGUUAGCACCUGGAUUUUUGGUUUGUGGCCGAAAGGUCCAGUCCUUUUUUGCAUUCCACAUUCCAUGCAAAUUGAGCAGACAAAGGUGAUAUAUAUGCAUGGGAAAAGUAUAGGGAUCUAAAGCCUAACUAUUGUUGUGCCUCAGCAUCGCACUUGUUUUUGCAUAUUCCACUCACUUGGAUCGUGUCUUUUGUCUCAUGUCCUUUUCCUUUUGGUUGUCUUGAAUUUUGGUAUCCCCCUUAUUACUUGAUCUGGAAUAAACUAUUGUAGUACCUAAUUCUUUUCGUCUUUUAAAAGUUUUGCUAAUGAAUUUAUAUUUCUUUUCCACGGGAACUCAACGGGCGUUAAAAUGAUCAAGAGCAAUCCGAAUGGUAAGCAAAUUAACAUGAAUUUCUUUCUCCUCCUUUCACUGAAACAGACUUUCUUCUCUCCUUUCUUUUUGGUUCUUUUCCUAAAUACAUCUCUUCUUUUUGAUUAACUUUUAGAACCUAAAAACAACCCCUUUUUUUUUUUGGGUUGGUGGGGUGGUGAGCAGGACCGAUGUAUUACAAUGGAAUUUAUCAUCUCUUCUACAGUAUAACCCUUAUGGUGCGGUAUGGGCGCACAUAAUCUGGGCCAUUCAGUGUCAAUGGACUUGAUUAAUUGGAAAGCAUUACAGCCUGCAAUAAAGCCCACAAAACCAUAUGACAGACACGGUUGUUGGUCCGGCUCUGCCACGAUCCUCCCAGGCAACAAGCCCGUUAUCCUCUAUACUGGGGUAGUAGAUGAGAACAAGACACAGGUCCAAAACUAUGUACUACCUAAAACAUAAACGAUCCAUAUCUUGAAGAGUGGAUCAAGCCCGACGACAACCCGUUGCUCGUCGCUGAACCGGGCGUUAACAGGACAGCUUCCGGACCCAACAACCGUGGAUGGGACGGGAUGGCCACUGGAGAAUCCUGAUCGGGAGCAGGAGAAAACACACGGGGAUUGCCUAUUUGUACAAAAGCAAGGAUUUUAUCAAGUGGGUUAAAGCUAAACAUCCGUUGCAUUCAAAGGAUAGAACUGGGAAUUGGGAGUGCCCCGAUUUUUUCCGGUUGCCAGGAAGGAAAAAAGGGACUGGACAAUUCAAUGAUUGAAGAACAAAACGUUAAAUUUGUGUUAAAAGUUAGCCUUGAUACCACCAGAUACGAUUAUUAUACGGUCGGUAAAUACUUUCCCGAGAUCGACAGGUACAUACCUGAUAAUACUUCCGUGGAUGGCUGGAAAGGAUUAAGAUAUGACUAUGGAAAUUUUUAUGCUUCCAAGAGCUUCUUCGAUGCCAGCAAGAAUAGAAGGAUCCUGUGGGGUUGGUCCAAUGAAUCGGACACCAAAAUGGACGAUGUUGAAAAAGGAUGGCUGCUGGAAUUCAGGUAUUGUAGGAUCUUAUACUAAUAAUAGCCUAGCCUAUCUUUUCAAUAGUAAAGUCAUGUGUUUGGACAGUUUUUACUAACGUACUACUAAUUAGUAAUUAAGUUUGUUUGUUUUUUCUUUUGGUGAAUCCUUCAUAUGAUAGACGAUAUGCUUGCUUUACGUCUGUGUGCUAGACACCAGACAGAUGUACUACAUUCAUUCCUUAACACGUGCAUUAAGUUUCGAUAAUUGAUUACACCAGAUUUUAUCUUUCUGGUUUGGGUAAAUCAUAAAUGGGAGCUGAAGAUGCUAAUUCGCCUGCUUUUGAAUCGUCGUACUAUUCCACGUAGAAUUUGGCUGCAUCCUAAUGGAAAGCAACUGUUGGCCUGGCCUAUUGAAGAAGUGGAAAGUCUUAGAGGACGCAGGGUUCAGUUGAGGAACGAAAAUAUGAAGAAGGGAGACGUUGUUGAGAUCAAGGGAAUAACAGCUGCACAGGUUAGGUUUGCGUAGGAUAUUCGGUUUCGUUUACGCUGUCGGUCAUACUAUGGAUUAAUAUAUCGUUAAACGAACCCUAAGAACAAAUUACAGGGCUGAUUGAAUGUGCUUUGCUUUGACAUGCACUUGCAGGCUGACGUUGAAGUAGUGUUCUCGUUUCCAAGUUUGGACAAAGCGGAGCCGUUGCACCCUAGUUUGGACCACCUUGAUGCUCAUGAGCUUUGCAGUCGAAAGGGCUCAAGUCUCCAUGGAGGACUGGGGCCGUUUGGUCUUUUAACGCUAGCUUCAGGAAAGCUAGAAGAAUACACUCCAGUCUUCGUUAGGGUAUUUAAGGCCAAGAACAAACACAAGAUUCUGCUUUGCUCUGAUGCUUCAAGGUUGGCUGAUCAGAUCUCAACCAGCUAGCAGCAUUAAAUCUUUGGUUUCUGUCUUUAAAUGGUCGUGCUAAUCUUGAAUGUAGUAUUAAUAUUUACUAUUACCCUUGGUCUUGGCAGCUCCUCCCUAAAGAAAGGGUUGUACAAGCCCUCAUUUGCAGGAUUCUUAGACGUAGAUCUGGCAAAGAAGAAGCUUUCUCUCAGGAGCCUGGUGAAAACUUUCACAUCUCCCUCCGUUUUUUUCUUUUUUUUUUUUUUUAAUUAAAACUAAGAAAAAACUUUUUAUUGUGUUUUAAAAGGUAUUCGUAAUGAAAGAGAUGUAUUUCUGUCGGCAGAUUGAUCAUUCUGUGGUGGAGAGCUUUGGCGCCGGAGGCGAAGUGUGCAUUACAUCUAGGGUUUAUCCUGCUUUGGCAGUCUCCGACAAUGCCCAUUUGUAUGCAUUCAAUAAUGGCAGCGAGACAGUUGCCAUUGAGACGUUGGACGCUUGGAGCAUCAAGGGACCUAAAUUUAUGAACUAAUCCAAUACGGCAUGCAUUUGACGUACUGCCUACGCGCCUAAUGUAUUUGACGUACUUCAUAUACCAUUCUUUGGAUGGAAAUUGAAAUAUAUGACCAUAACGAUCAUCUCACGGUCAAUUGCGUGUUCAACAAUUACUAUUCGGUCGGUAGCAACAGCUAAUUUUGUUCAAAGUUGUCGGUAGCAACAGUUAAUGUGUGUGUGCCAUUAAGCUUAAAGACUAUUCCACAAAGCAUUAAAUCACAGGUAUUCAUAUUUAAAUAUUUUAUUGUCUGCGACUAAUCUUAUUCCAUCUAGGUCGACUCGUACGAAAGAAAACUCUUUCAACGUUAUUCGCUCAAUUCUUAUAGAUUUCAAACCUAAAAACUUAUACUUCAAAGUUACAAAUUUCUUCCACUUGCACUAAUAGCUGUUAGUACAAAGUGUUUGCUUUUACCAAGGUCCUUGAUGGACAUUUUAGCCACGAUUAUUCAUGUACUUAAUUUUCAAAGCGUCCAUAGAGAAGUAUGAAAUGAAGAAUGAACGUGAGAAAAUUGCUUUUCAAGAAGCAAAGAUGAUUUCUUUCUUUUCUCUUCAUUCGGCCACGUUUUAUUUUGGCCGAACUCAAGACACCAACCGCGAUUAUUUCCUGGUCAAAAAUAGAAUACAAAGAAAGUUAAAAAUGGAAAAAGAGAUCAAAACUAUUGAACGCUUACACAACGGCCGCAGGUUAAACUUCCGGAAAAAAAAAAACCACAAAAUUCGGGCCUCACCACGAUUCUGGUUUCCCAUCAGAUUGGUCUCCUUCUCAAAAGCUUCAUCGGAAAACAAAAUUAGAGAUUAAACUUCCGGGAAAAAAAAUCACAAAAUUCGGGCAACGGAAACAAAGUUCAACUCAACGCAGCAGGCCACGAUUCUGGUUUCCCAUCAGAUUGGUCUCCUUCUCAAAAGCCUCAUCGCAACGCAGCAGGGCUGUGCGAAUUGUGUAAAACGAGAAUUCGGAGGACUUAAUAGCUAGGGUUUAUCCGGAAUGGAAUAAGAUUUUUCAGCGUCCCGUGGCUUCCAUUUCUCAGUGAAAAAUCUUAUUCCAUUCCGGAUAAACCCUAGCUAUUAAGUCCUCCGAAUUCUCGUUUUACACAAUUCGCACAGCCCUGCUGCGUUGCGAUGAGGCUUUUGAGAAGGAGACCAAUCUGAUGGGAAACCAGAAUCGUGGCCUGCUGCGUUGAGUUGAACUUUGUUUCCGUUGCCCGAAUUUUGUGAUUUUUUUUCCCGGAAGUUUAAUCUCUAAUUUUGUUUUCCGAUGAAGCUUUUGAGAAGGAGACCAAUCUGAUGGGAAACCAGAAUCGUGGUGAGGCCCGAAUUUUGUGGUUUUUUUUUUCCGGAAGUUUAAUCUCUAAUUUUGUUUUUUGGGUUUUUAAUUUAAUAGUUCAUGGUUAUAGAGAUUCGGUUUCUCAACCCGAUUAAUCGAUUAAUUAAAUAAACAUGGUUCGAAUUGGGUUGUUUCAGGAUUGGGUUAAUAAAAGGACACUUGGCAAGUUUUGGAGGGGUGGGAUAGGGUGUGAGACAGGGUUGUGGUACAGAGGAUCCGUUGCGGUUAAUUUCGCAGUUAUUUCUCAAGCAUUCCCAUCCAUAAGUAAUUUUCUGAUCUAUAUAGAUGAUGUUCUUGCGGUUAAUUUUUUUCUGAUCUAUAAAUACUCAAAAGUGCAUUAAUUAACCAUUCAAAAUCCUAAAAUUUCUCCCAUCUCCCCCUCGUCUCUUUUGAUGUUUUCUCUCCCAUCUCCCUUUAAAUACCAAACACACAGCCUAUCGAAUAGCAUCAAUUGUUCUUAUUUGUACAUAUAUAUUGUAUCUUUUUUUUUGUAAAGAUAGUAUCAACUGUCAAAGUCCAAUGGAGCUCCAUAACAAGUUUCUUUGGGCUUUGCCAGUAUUCAUGUUAUCCUUUUUAAUUUCUUAUAAUGGUGUUGAAGCCUCCCACAAUGUUUAUCUUCAUUAUCAGUCUCUUUCCGCCAUCAAAGUAGAGCAAAUGCAUAGAACCGGCUACCACUUUCAACCCAAGAAGCAUUGGAUUAACGGUAAUUUUCCUCAUAAUUUUUUGUGGUUUGCUACAAUUUUUUACGUUCUCUCUUGGGCAUCAUUACAAGUUUACACACAAUGCAUGCGACCUCAUCUAUGUAGGAUAAUCCAUCCUACAUAGAGUACCUAAUCAACAUGUUUAGGAUAAUCCAAAUCCAGCAUAAAGUACCUAAUCAAGACUGCAUUACCAUAUGUAUGAAGGUUUCGUAAAAUACUACUGAAUAAUACAAUCAUGCACGUUUCUUGCUUUCUUUUUUUGUUGCUUUUUUUUUUUAACACUUAGAGAAUUUCUGGGCGUGCCUAGUCCAAUUGGUUUCUUCUACUAACUACUAAUGAUCUGAACCCUUUGUUUACAUGUCCAUGCGGGACCAUAAAAUGACUGGAGGGCAGAUCCAAAUGGUGAGCACUCUCAAAAACCGCGCCUUUUUAAAACCUUUCCUUUUUGAUGGUUUAAAAACUAAUUUUCAUCUCAACGCUGAUGACAGGUCCUAUGUAUUAUAAUGGCGUCUACCAUCUUUUCUACCAAUACAAUCCCAAAGGAGCUGUAUGGGGCAACAUUGUCUGGGCCCAUUCAGUGUCGACUGACUUGAUCAACUGGACUCCAUUGGAACCUGCAAUCUUCCCUUCAAAACCCUUUGACAAGUACGGCUGCUGGUCAGGCUCUGCAACAGUUCUUCCAGGCAAUAAGCCGGUCAUCCUUUACACGGUAUCGUGGAUAAGAACAAUACCCAAGUCAGAACUACGCCGUGCCAGCCAACCUCUCCGAUCCAUAUCUGCGCAAGUGGGUCAAACCCGAUAACAACCCACUGAUCGCCUCCGAAGCCGGCGUGAACAAAACAGCAUUCCGUGACCCAACCACAGCCUGGUUGGGCCGAGAUGGGGAAUGGAGAAUCUUGAUAGGUGGCAGAUGGAAGGAUACAGGAAUUGCAUUUUUGUACAAGAGCAGAGACUUCAUGAAGUGGAAAAAGGCUGCAAAUCCCAUCCAUCAGUCUGCUGGGACUGGCAAUUGGAAUGCCCCGACUUCUACCCUGUAGCCAAAUCAGGAACAAAUGGGUUGGAAACUUCUGUAUUGGGACAAAAUGUAAAGCACGUCUUGAAGGUUAGUCUUGAUGCCACAAGAUUUGAGUACUACACCCUUGGUAAAUAUUACCCGCAGAAGAUAGGUACGUUCCCGACAAUACAUCCCCAGAUAACUGGAAAGGGCUGAGAUAUGAUUAUGGCAACUUUUAUGCUUCCAAAUCAUUCUUCGACCCAAGCAAGAACCGGAGGGUUUUGUGGGGAUGGGCUAAUGAGUCCGACACCGCCAAGGACGAUAUCAAAAAGGGUUGGGCAGGCAUUCAGGUACAUAUUCUAAAUAUUAGUAUUAGAUUUUACUCCACGAAUCAUUUAUAUAUUGCUGGAAUUAUACCCCGUCCAGUCGAGUAAUACUCGUAUUGAUGAUCUAAUGUUGUUUCAUAUAUUUUUAACUAAUUUGUCUUCAAUUGAUCAGUUGAUUCCACGAACAAUCACGCUCGAUCCAAAUGGGAAACAAUUGCUGCAAUGGCCAGCUAAGGAAUUGGAUACUUUGAGGGGGGCACAUGUCCGUCUGAGCAAUCAGCUGCUGAAGAAGGGCGACCUCGUUGGAGUUACAGGAAUAACUCCUGCACAGGUUUGUCCUCAUUUCCCCCAAAACACAAGACAAGGGAAAAAAUUAGGUGAAUAUUGGAAUGCAUGAAAUCUUCUACACUGAUUCAUAAAUCCUGUUGCAGGCCGAUGUGGAAGUGACGUUCUCUUUCCGCAGCUUGGACUUGGCAGAGUCAUUUGAUCCAAAAUGGAGAAAACUUGAUGCUCAAGAUGUUUGCAGCAAAAGAGGUUCGUUUGUUCAGGGCGGUCUCGGACCAUUUGGUCUCGCGACGCUUGCCACUGAAGACCUGCAAGAAUACACUCCUGUAUUUUUCAGAAUUUUCAAAGACGCUGGCAAGCAUGUUGUUCUCAUGUGCUCUGACGCUACGAGGUUGGCUAGAUAUUUUACAAGUCAACUUUCUUUAGUUGGCAAAUAAUUCUACUCUGACAACUCUAAAACUAAUGCUUUAGUUAUACAUUGAUUGAACAACUUUUCAAUCCCUUAUCGCGUCUCAGGUCAUCCUUAAAGAAGGAGUUGUACAGACCCUCAUUUGCAGGAUUUGUAGAUGUGGAUUUGACUGAUAAAAAGCUGUCUCUUAGGAGCUUGGUAUGGUUGCAGUUCUUUUUCUACCCUUUUACUAUUUGCCUAGUCAGCACGCCUCCGCCUCCUGUAUAUUGAUUUCCUUUCCAUGAUGUUAUGAUGGAUCAUUCAUUCGUUUGUGGAUUCCUUGUUGGCGCAGAUUGAUCACUCAGUGGUAGAGAGCUUCGGGGCCGGAGGGAAGACCUGCAUUUCAUCCAGGGUUUAUCCAACUAAAGCCGUCUUCAACAAGGCUCAUUUGUAUGCAUUCAACAACGGGACUGAGGCCAUUACAGUCGAGACUUUAGAUGCCUGGAGCAUGAAGACUGCUAAGGUGAAUUAAGAUGCAUGGGAGGGCUCUACAAUCACCAUUUAGGAAUUUUUGCUUUUGCAUAUUCUUUUUGGCUCUUUGACCAGAGCGAAGGAUAUCCUAUAUUAAUUGGUUUUUUUAUUUUUAUUUUUUUACCGUGUAUUAUCAGCAAAAAUAAAAAUUUACAAUUCGCUUCCAACUAUGAAGUCUAUAUCUUUGUUCUUUGAUUUUCUAGCUUGUACAACCUUUUACAUCCCGGGGAAAUCAUAUCAAUGGUUGAUCAUCUACUCGCUUAUAAUUUGAAGAAUAAUUAAAGUAAAACAAAGCAUGAACGCAAUAAAUUCUUUGAAGGGUUGACGUUAGUUUGAUUCAAGGGAAUUUUUAAAACUUCGAAAGGAAAGGGUGCUUGACCGUCGGAUCAGAUGUUCUGAAUUACGAACCGGCACAUCAUUUUUGCUAAUGGAUAAACAAGCGCUUCUUUUUUUUUUUUUUUUUUUUUUUUUAGGAUUGUGGAAAACCAGCGCUUCAUUGAUUUGACAAAAUCUGGUUGCAUUUUCUUCUCAACAAAAUCAAGUAGGUCAGUGAAACAUUCCGGCCCGGCACUGGUUGGCUUCGCUACCUGCAUUCCAUCUGUACCCGACUCAGCAUAUCUAACUUCUGACCUCGUAAACAGCACGUGCCAUUUUCCAAAUCCAGCAGCAAAUGUGUAGCCAAAUCUUUGGGAUUUUGCUAUAGUUUUUGACUUUUGACUUUUGAAGUCCAAGAUGCAAAUUUUCUCUGGCGGCGGCUACCUCUCCUCGAUUGCUCCCGCUAUAUGAAUUAUCCAAACCAUCAUCUUUUAUUCCAGGAGUAAUAAGCAGUUAAGUACUUUUCCCACUUAUUAUGGAAAAAAUAUACUUCUAUCGGUGCAGAAAAAGAUUUUGAACAAAUCAGUCAGCACGUUUCCGGAACAAACACGGUCUAAUUUUCAAAGUUAUCCAAUAACCAAUCCUAUCCCUAAUAAACUUCUGCUAAUUCUAUAAAUACAGAGGAUGUUAACCAUUGACUACUCCGACAUCUCUCUCUCUCUCCCUCUCUCUCUUUUAGCCGGCCAAUUUCUGCGACCGCCGAAAAACAUAUAGUUGUUGCGGAUUUGUGUUGAUUCUUAGACAAGUUCCAGUGCAAGUAAGGCCAAUGGGGCACUUUUGCAGCGAAAAGAUUUUAUGGGUUUUGGCACUAGGUUUCACUUGCGUUUUGGUUUCCAUUAAUGGCGUCGAAGCCUCGCACAAGGUUUAUCCUGAUUACCAGUCUCUCACUGCUUCAAACGUUGGGCGUCUGCACAGAACCGCUUACCACUUUCAACCCAAGCGGCACUGGAUUAACGGUACGUUUUGCACUCUCCUUCCUUCCAUGCCUUUGUUCUCAACUGAUAGAUUUAAUUUGAGAUUUUUUUUUUUUUUGGGGUCCAAAAAAGUCGAAAAUUUUUGGAUUUUGGUUCUGAGUGAUCACCGACUGCCGACGUUUUAUAGUCUUUCCAUUCUCAACUCAUUUCUAGAUUCAUCAUCUAUGUAUCUCUUGUUUUCUGCGUCCACCAUUUAAUCUUCGUGAAAAAAAAAAAUAAUUAAUCAGAUUAAGAAAUCAUUUAAUCAGAAAAAAAAAUUUUCAUUUAUAUUUCAUUGAUAUAGCAUAUACAAGGCUAAUAUCGUCAUAUUUUUGUCAAAAUCUAUUCUUCAAACUCUUUUCAAGAACACCUGUCCAUUUAUUUAAAAUGCCUUUUUUAAAGAAAUCAAUUUUACAGAGUCAGCUUUUACAAAUGGUUAAUUUUUUUGUUUUUUUUUUUGAGUAUUUGUUAAAAAAAAAAUGUACAAUGUUUUACUUACAUGUUUCCUAGCCUCCAGAUUGAUGUAGAAAAUCUGGUUUAUGAAUUAUGACCUUCUGCGCGCCGGCGGCGAUCUCAAUUUAUAAAAGCAAUUGAAUGCUCCGAUCCCUUCCCUUGUGGAUUUAUUUCCAUUCUGUGCCAUGCAUGCAUCAGAAAGAUGGCGUCGCUUUUUUUUCUUUUUUUUUUGUACAUGCAACUGCAAACUAUAAAGCCUUGUACUCUUCUAUGUAUAUUUAUUUACUUCAAAAAAAAAAAAAUACUAGUAACUCUUCCCUUACUUUGAACAAAAUUUGUUUUUCUUCCUAUAAAAAAAACAACAAUAUCUUUUCUUUUUCUCCGUAUUCUUCUGAAUCAUGAAUGUUAAGCCUGUUACAGGUUCAAAGUUUUAUCCAUUUCGGAAUGUGAGUAGAAGUAUUUAUAUUAUUUCAUUAUCCACUCCAAGAUUCUUGGCGCUUCUGACGGCUUCCACGUAGAAAAUAUUACCCGAAUGAUGAAAACAUACUGCAAUCGAAUGAGAGCUUAAAUCGCUUGAGGAUAGCAAUUCCUAAUAUGGACCCAAUUAAUUCCAUGAUUACGUACCUUACGACAAAACUAACUACGUUACCUAUGUAUGUUGGUGUUCUUUUUUUUUUCCUAACAAUUAUCUCACCUUUUUUGCUUUGGCCUUUGCAUGUUGGCGUGGGACUCUAAAACAAAUCUUGCUGGACAGAUCCGAAUGGUGAGCAGGCAAUAACGCUUUUAAGCUUCUUCUUGACAGUUGAUGUGUGAAUUAGUUAUUGCCUUCCUUAAUUUAUUUAUUUACAGCGAGCGUCUGACUAACUACAGGACCAAUGUAUUACAACGGUGUUUAUCACCUAUUCUACCAAUACAAUCCAAAAGGUGCUGUAUGGGGCAACAUUGUAUGGGCUCAUUCAGUAUCUACUGACCUGAUCAACUGGACCCCUUGGACCCAGCCAUCUUCCCAUCGAAACAAUUUGACAAGUACGGCUGCUGGUCCGGGUCCGCAACUGUCCGUCCGGGGAAUAAGCCCGUAAUCCUCUACACUGGCAUAGUAGACCAGAACAAUACCCAAGUCCAGAACUACGCCGUGCCAGCCAACCUCUCUGAUCCGUACCUUCGAGAGUGGGUCAAGCCCGACAACAACCCUUAAUUGUUCCCCAAGCCGGAGAAAACAAAACGGCUUUCCGCGACCCAACAACCGCUUGGUUGGGCCGGGAUGGCCACUGGAGAAUCCUGCUGGGUGGUAAGAGGAAGCAUAGGGGGGUCGCAUUUCUGUAUAGGAGCAGAGACUUCUUGAAAUGGACCAAGGCAAAGCAUCCAUUGCACACCACUGCGGGAACUGGAAAUUGGGAAUGUCCUGAUUUCUACCCUGUCCUAAAGCAAGGAUCAUACGGGCUGGACACGUCCGUGCUGGGCCCAAAUGUUAAGCACGUCUUAAAGGUUAGCCUUGACGUUACCAGGUAUGAGUACUACACCUCGGAUAUUAUGACACCGAUAAAGACAGGUACAUUCCGGACGAUACAUCGCGGGAUGGUUGGAACGGUUUGAGAUAUGACUAUGGCAACUUUUAUGCCUCCAAAUCGUUCUUCGAUCAUAGCAAGAAUCGGAGGAUUUUGUGGGGUUGGGCCAAUGAGUCAGACUCUGCUUAUGAUGAUGUGACGAAGGGAUGGGCCGGCAUUCAGGUACUACCCAAAUUUCUAAGACUCUCUUUUUUUUUUUUUUUUCAAAGCAAUUUCUAAGACUUCUAAUUCUGAGGUUGUCGAACGAUUCCGCUGGGCAUUUUUUCAGUUGAUCCCGCGAGUAAUUACGCUGGACCCCAAUGGCAAACAACUGUUGCAAUGGCCAAUUCCAGAAUUGGAAAGUUUGAGGGGGAAAAUGUCCAUUUAAGCGGUCAGGUGCUUAAAAAAGGCGACGUUGUUGAAGUGACGGGAAUAACUCCGGCCCAGGUUCGUGCCCGGGGUUAAAUAUGCUCUGAAUACUGCUGCAUUUGAUUUGAGUGCAAAUAAUGAAUGCAUGGCAGAAAGAGGGAAGUAUUUAGUAUUUAGUGCGUUGCAGGCCGAUGUGGAAGUGACAUUCUCCUUCGCCGCCUCUAGCUUGGACCUGGCAGAACCGUUUGACCCGACGUGGAAAGCGCUUGAUGCUCAGGACGUCUGCGGCCGGAGAGGCUCAACCGUUGAAGGUGGUGGGCUUGGUCCAUUUGGUCUCCUGACGCUCGCCUCCGAAACCUGGAAGAGUACACUCCGUGUUCUUCAGAGUUUUUAAAGCCGGAUACCAGCAUGUGGUUCUCAUGUGCUCUGAUGCUCGAAGGUUCGCUUCCUUUUAGUUACAACGCCAUCAAACCAAUUAGUAAUACUAUUAUUAUUCGCUCAUUCAUUUGUCUAACCUCAUUCCGUCUCGUCCUCUGCGUUUCAGUUCUUCUUUAAUGGAUGGGCUGUACACGCCUUCAUUUGCCGGAUUUGUAGAUGUAGAUUUGACCGAUAAGAAGCUUUCCCUCAGGAGUUUGGUACGGGCUGAUUGAUGGAUCAUUUUUGCUAAGACUGGGUAUUCUUCUAUCAUUUUUGCUUAUUCUUUUUUGGUUGUGUUUUGGCAGAUUGAUCAUUCAGUUGUAGAGAGUUUUGGGGCCAGAGGGAAGACGUGCAUUUCAUCCAGGUUUAUCCAACCUUAGCCGUUUCCGACAAGGCUCACUUAUACGUAUUCAAUAAUGGCACUGAGGCUGUUAAAAUUGAGACUUUAGAUGCUUGGAGCAUGAAUAGGCCUAGGAUGAACUAAAUUUUCAAGUACCAACAUGUUUAUCCUUUUUGCAUUGGAGCACGACAAGGAUACCUUACCUUGUUCGCGUGUUUUGGUUUGAAGAAUUCAUUCAUAUUUCUCGUGACGUUCCUUAUUAUUUGCAAAAGAGGAGUAUAUGAGUUGUUGUAUUAGUGGAAAACAGUGGCAGUAGUUCUAGUAGUAGUAAGAAGAAAAAUGGCUAUUAUCAAAGAAGAACAAUUAAACAAGUGAAAAGAAAACUAUGCCAAUGGAAGGGGGUGGAUGCGACGACCUACAACGACAUAUUGACAUGGCAUCGUCGGGACGGGGUUAUAAAAUAUCGAAGAAUUAUUAUUGAUCUUCUGGUCUCGUCAAUCCAAAAUAUAUAUAUAAUACAUGUGAACACGAGACAUUUGCCGCCAUAGUGGUGCGCCCUCAAUAAUAAAUAAUAUUAAUAAUGUCUUUGCCAAAAUAGUGAAUAAUCACUUGCUGAUUGUCACGUGCCUUCCACUAAUACACGUAGUGGGUACCACACUGCAGACCGCAGGAUGAAUUGCCGAAUGGAAAGUUUUAGCAAUUAAAGUAUUAAACCCACCCCCGGACCUUUUCAUUUCUUCCACAGAAUUCCCCACAACAGCACAAAUCAAGUUAAUUUAAUUAGCAAGGAUCUACCUACCAUGGCAGCAGCUGUGACGACUACCAGCAGUGACCGAAUGGAGCAGCUGAAGGAAUUUGACGAGUCCAAAAUGGGAGUGAAGGGUCUAUCCGACUCGGGUGUCUCCACCAUCCCAAGUAUCUUUCUACAUCCCCGGAAACCCUCUCGGACCUCAAGUCUUCUACAACAUCCUGCAGCACAGGAAUCCCUGUCGUCGAUUUAUCAAACCUUCAUUCUGAUUUCCACAGACCAAGGAUCGUAGAACAAAUCCGUGAAGCCGCAAGUAGCUGGGGUUUCUUCCAUGUAGUCAACCACGGGGUCCCUGUCUCAGUACUCGACGAGACAAUCGCUGCCAUUAGAGCAUUCCACGAGCAGCCCAGAGAAGAAAAAGCUGAGUAUUAUAAGCGAGAUCAAGAAGGCCAUGGCGUGAUGUACGCGAGCAACAACGACCUGUACCGUUCGCAAGCUGCAUGUUGGCAUGAUUCGCUACAGUUGUGGAUGUCUCCUCAGCCCCGAAAGCGGAGGACAUACCGGAGGUCUGUAGGAGGCAGGUGGUGGAGUGGGACGUGCACGCAAAGAAGGUGGCUGAUACAGUGAUGGAGUUGUUGAGUUUAGGGUUGGGAUUGGAAGCCGGCAAGUUCAAGGAGUUGACAUUUUCGGAUGCUAGGGCGGUUGUAGGGAUUAUAUACCCUCCCUGUCCCCAGCCGGAUCUAACCAUGGGGAUGACCUCGCACACGGAUCCUGGUACCAUCACUGUUUUGCUGCAGAAUCAGGUUCCUGGCUUGCAAGUGAAGCAUGGGGAUGCCUGGGUUGAUGUGAAGCCCUUGCCAGGAGGGCUGAUAAUUAACAUGGGAGAUUUUCUUCAGGUAAGAAAACUAGUACUGUACUACUUUUUUUUAUAAAGCAAAAAAAAAAAUAUAUAUAUAUAUAUAUAUAUAUAUUUCACACAACGUUUUAUUUUAUUUUAUUAUUUUUUUUUUGUGUUUUUGUGGUGUGGGGUUUUGAAUUUCUAUAAGCAAAUGUAUGCGGGUCGCUUACUGAUAAACUAGGAAAGAAUAGAAGCGAUUAAACCCACAAGUGUUAACUUAUUUAGAAUUCAUAUUUUUCUGGGGAAUCAAGAAAUUCUUUCAAAUUAAUUGAUAAUAAGAAUUUCUGCACAGAAAGUCAGUAGUCAAACGUCCUGCUCGAUAUCCUCUAGUUAGUAUAUAGAGAUGAUACGUACACAGUUUAAAAGGUCACAUAGUAGGCACGUACGUCAGUCAUGCAUACUGGGAGGAAAACGAAUGUAGUACUGGUUGAUGUCCAAAACUUAUCGCUUGAAAAUAUGUUAUUGUACGACAAGUUAAACAGAAAAAAAAAAAAAAACUAGAAGAUAGCUGCAGGUGAUUCGAUUGUACCAUAUGUACAACAAAUUAGUGCAUGUUCUGGAGUUAUUAAGCACUUGGGACAUAUAAAUGAUAUAGCUUACGAGCGAUAUCCUUCCUACUCUUUUUCGGCACGAUUUUUACCAGAUAGUCUCAAAUGGAGAAUAUAGAAGCGUGCAACACCGAGUGUUGGCAAAUGCCACCAACGAGCACCGCCUCUCCAUCGUUACAUUUUUCAACCUCACGAAAUGGAGAGAACUCGGCACAUAUGGUCCCCUGCCGGAGCUGCUGUCGCCUGAGAAACCAGCUUUGUAUCGAGAUUUCACCUGCAACAGUUCUAUGACAACUUUUACAGCAAAGGAUUGGAUAGCAAAUCUCUGAUCGACAAAAUCAAAAUUACCACCAGCAGCUAAUGCCUUGUAACCCAGUGGCGAAGGUAAAAAAAAGGAUGUGGAGGCGGCGCUUCAAUUUCAGGCGAUAUGCUGUCCGUGCCAAAAGUCAGUAGUGUUUUAGUAAUGUAUUCAAAUACGCAGCAACUUUCCUGUAAUGAUUUCAAGUUUCAAAGUCGUGGGAUCGUGCAGGAAAUCUUUUCGUUGUUAUAUGGAUAUGAAUGUAUGCGUGAGACAUUGAGGUCAAGAAAUAAGGUACUACUAUUAAUUUCGUAAAGCACUGUACAUGAAUGGGCUCGAUUUGCUUCUCUAAUUCUACAUUUUGUGAUAGAUUUUCUUGUAAUAAUCCAAGUUAAAAAAAUCCCAGUUGAUAAUUAGUUCCGUUCAGCAAUUGAACUUCUUGAAUGUCAGACAUUAUUUUAUCUCCUCAGUUUGGUGCCAAGUGCCAGCCUUGUGGCGGCGGUAAAGGACACCAACCCGAAAUGUCCCGACAGGAAAAGUCCUUUCAUUUAGGGUCUGUUUGGCUGGAAGUAAAAUAUUUUUCUUGGGAAAAUAUUUUUCGUGGAAGUAAUUUUUCAUGAAAAUCAUUUCCCUUUCAUCAUUUUCAGGUGUUUGGUUAGCUUAUUGAAAAUAUUUUCCUACUUCAUUUUUCUGGUGUUUGUUUAACUUUUGAAAUAUUUCACUUUUAUCUCUAUCUUUACUUUCUGCACAUUAUAACUACAUACUCCUUCUCAUGCAAAAUAAAAAAAUUUAUCUCAUUGUUUAACUUUAAAAAUCUUAGAGAAAUGUAUAUAUGAAUAAAAAAUAUCUCCUUAAGUAAUAAACAAAUUGCUGGCCAUUUAGUGCCAAAUAUCAAUCACAUGCAAUGCUUAUUGUGACAUAUAUCUUGCAUUCUCACUGCUGAAAGUUCUCUAGAAAAGAAUGUCCCCAUUAUACAUAAUUAAUUACUAGCAUAAGAUGAGUAGGAUGAUGUUUUUUUUUUUUUGAAUAUACUAGGGGAGGGUUGGGUUGGAUGGUACAAGGGAGGGAGUGUAAGGAAGAGAUCUUGGUUCGAGUCCUUCUGUUUACACUAAAAAAAAAAAAAACAUACUACAAGAUAUUUUCAGUAAGUUUGGAAUAUACUACAGGCGGAAUGCAUGCAUUUCGAAAAAUAACUUCAGUAAGUUUGAAAGAGAAGUUGUUUUCCAUAAGAUGAGUGAAAAUAUUUUACAUAGAAAAAUGUUUUCAGUAACUUUUGUGCAACCAAACACGAAAAAUUAAAAAAAUAUUUUCUUGAAAAACAUUUUCACCCGAAACAAACGAACCCUUAGAAUGCCUGUUCGGUCACAAUAAUAAUAUGGAAAGAAAAACUUUCGUUCCAAUAUUUUCAGAGCAGGUGGAACAUUUUCAUCAAGGAUAAGCCAAAAUCUUUCGUUUUGGUUGGGUUUUAGGUCUAAAUGAUUUCGCGUCUUUUUCGAGGAUUUUUCUCCAUCAAGGAUUUGGUGGGUUAUAAGUCUAAAUGAUUUUGUGUUGCUUUCAUGGAUUUUUCACCAUUUUCUCGUCUCCUUCCCAAACAUGAGACUGUGGCUGGCCAAUUGUAUCUUUUCCCUUUUUCCCCCAUGACUGAUUUGUAGACCAUCAAAUCAAAGUCAACUAUCUCCAUCUGCGAAUAAUUUCACAUCGAAUCAACCACACGGACCCAACAACCGGGAUACAAAAUUGGCAAGAAAAUCUUCAGAACAAGCCAUACAGCUCUUGAAUAUGGCCCAAUCUCCAAGCUUUGUCUCAUAAAAGGCACAGAAACAUAGGACGCUUGCAAAAUCUUCAGCAGAAAAGCCAUCUACAAAACUCACGGACGUCAAGCUCUACGGAAAUCAUUCUCCGACGGUAGAUAGAUUAUAUAACAAUACAGUUGUUCACCAGAAAAGCCACUAAAAGCAAAUAAUACAAUUUUCGAUACCACUUCAAAGACCAGCAUUUUCAAUACCACAUUUAGUUGCAACGUGACAGCAAUUAGCACAACGAUAACAUUUUAAAGCAAAUGAACCAUCUACCACCCACGAAAAUCAACUGCAAGUGAAUCAACUCAGUUGACAAAGUUAAAAGAGUGGCAAUAAAUGUAGGGACCUACAGAGCCCCCCUUGCCACUCUAAUAGCAAACGGGGCAACAAUAUAAAAGUCCCAUCGUUAAAAGACUAAUUCCGAGUUUCUAAAAGCAUCGACAUCAACAAGCUAAAAAAGAAGGCAGAAGCAAGGGGAAGGCAGGGAACCCUCCCAGCAGGAAAAAGGGUACGUGGCUAGCUUCUACAUCCUGCUUUACAUGUUCUCGGAUGCUGCUUCCUCUGGAAUUCUUGGUUGAACUUCAACACACCAAAUAUGAAAAUCAUUAUGGUUACAGUCAAUGAAACAAAGGACGAAAGGACAUGAUCCAGCGACCUAAGGAUUUAAUUUGCCACCCAUUUCCAGAUUAAUUUCUGCUUCGUGUAUAUUAUCAAAUUACAGAAUGCAAAACUGAAGAAGCACUAGCUGAAAAUAGAUUGUUACUCCUUGAACCUGACAAAAAAUGAGACCUUGUGCAACAAUCCCUUGAUUAAUGCCUUUAACCAGGAAGACAAACAUUUCAUUCAUAAGAAAGCUCAAAGAUGAACGCAAUUUUACUUCAACGAAAAAAAUACAAUUUUAUCCAACUUACCACUUGAAUUUGUUCACAUGGAGUAAGCUACACUCUAACAGACACUAUCGAGUAUGACAACAGACCACUAUCAGACAUCCUCUAUCUCAAAAUUCAGGCCACACUCACAUGCACAGGGUCUAGAGACAGCAGCAAGUGCAUAUAGCAAUAAAAGAAUGAGCCGAUCAGAAUUUGAUUCAGCGAUUGGAGGGUGAUGCAGCUAGAACAGUUGCAUGAAAUGGCAGCUCAUAGACAGACUACCAAGUGUUGUGGGAUGCUCCGACCAUUUAGUAGGUAUUUUCCACCCAGAAAGUGCUGCUGAUCAAAUAUUACUAACAAAAACAUUCAAAUAAUUACUGAUAUGUACAUGCACACAAGCACAUGAUGAUGCUAACUUGUACUUCCAAAAUUGUUAUCCAAGCACAUGUUAAUAACAGUAUGCGAUUUACUGAAGUUUAGCAUGCACCCGUAUAUAUAAAACUCAAGUAGGUAGCUUCUAGGUUCAACGACAAAUAAAAUUUCUUUUUCUGUGGGGCAUAUUGAUUGUUUAUAUUUCUUGAAUGGUGGAAAAGCAGGAAAGCUUUCCAUGCGAAAAACCUCAAAGCUUGACAAAAUGCAACUAAGUUAUAGAUGCAAGUUUAGGAGUCACAAUCUGAAGAAGGCCCUUUGGAUUAUCCACAUGAACCCAGUGCCCUGAUUUGGAAAGAACAUGAUAAGAGACUUUCCCAUCAGCUUCAUCAACUCUUUUAGCAGCAAGCCUUUGAAUGCGCUGAAUGGUGUCUUGCAUCCAUCUGUCACUGUUCUCAGCCCGGACGAUUGCUAUCUCCAUCCCUUUGGGAGGUUCGUCCAACAGAGACCAAUAAUCUGUUUCCCUGAUGAAAUUUUAUUUAUUCAACAAUGAGUUCCACUUACAACUGGUAACUCUUUCUUCUUAUUUUCCCCUCCCGGAUCGAUAAAUGUACAAUAAAACAUAUUUUCUUCUUACUUUCAGAUUAUGAAAUUUUUGUCCUAAAGUUUUUCUUUGGCAGUGGUCAGACAGUGAGCAAUAAUUUUCAUCUAUAAUCAUAACAAGCAGCAGAUUAGUGUACCUAUAAGAAUUAAACAUCUGGAUUGCACCUCAAGAUUAAAUGCCCAUGUCUCUUGGUCUCCGGAUCUCUUCAGAUUGCUUCCAAUCCAUUCUGACAAUGCCUUUGAAAACCCAUGCUUCAUCAUUGAUCCACAACCAUCUAAGAAGAUGAUUCCCGACAGAAUGGCAUGUUAAGUAAGCAUAACCCGAAUAGAAGAGGAAGAAUAAGGCAAAAGAAUACUGAUGUGUGAGAGAUAAAGCACAGAACUUCACAGCCAUGCAGUUGCUUGUCUCAAAAAAAAAAAUAAAUAAAUCUAUGUAGUUGUCGAAUUUUACCUGCUAUAGAAAUUGAAACUAAAAUUGUUGUAUAUUUUUUUAAAGGCUGUACCUGAUAGGUUUAUCGGUUCUAAUGAAAUAAAGUUCAAAAGAUCAGCUUUUCCAAGAAGCAUGCCAUAAAGCAAAAAUAGAUUGCCUUUAACCAGGUAAAGCAGUAAUAGAGUACCUUUAACCAGGUUGAGUAAAACUGAAGACACUUAAAUUGUCAGCUAAUCACAAAAGAUACCACAGGAAAUAUUCACAUAACAUGAGUGCACAAUUCCUGUCUCAACAAUCUGAGACUUGGCGUAGUGCACAAUAAAGUAUGCAUAUAGGAAACAAAAAAAAUCAUCAGAGGGGGAAAUCGACAUACUUUCGAGAUGGAAUUGAUGAAGGUAGACAUUGCAAGGUCUGCAAUACUUGCUCCACUUCUCCAUCACUUUCCUCAGGGUCUACUUUUCCAGGGACUGAGUCAAGUACCCAUAACUGCUCUGCAUCAGGAGUCUCAUGCAUGAGUGAACCAUAAAUUGUUACAGAUACGAGUAAAGUACAAGUACUCAAUUGACAAGUAUCUGAGGUGGCAAAAAUUUAAAUUCAAUAUGAACGCUUGCAUUGCAGGUAUACAAGAAUGAGUUGCAAAAACCUUUACAAUUGAUUUAAUGAGGUAUGGUAUCCUUAAAAGCAUCUUUGGGAGAGAAUUAAAGCUAGCUUGUUUGUAGUAGUCACGUUGUUCAUACACUUUUACUCUUCAACACUAAUUGAGGUGUGGAGCAGAACAUUAAAAUUCGAAAAAUAACCAGCCAAGAUGAUACAGAAGCUCGGCAGUACUCAUAAUUUAUCAGAAGUUACAAUAGAUUCCAGUCAAGGAAAUUUAAAAACCGGAGUUCUAUAAAAUUCGAAAAAGUAGGCAACUGAACGCACAACAAAUUGCCUAUCACUGGGACUGGUAAAGGGACACUAUCAUUGGGCUAUCAAAACGUACAUCCUACUUAAUAACACAUGCAGUUCAGGCUUUCAUGCACAAAAGGGACAACGAUAAUAGGAGCAAGUAUUUCAGUAAAAUGACAAGCAACUGUGGGCACAGUAACAGAGUGAAGAAAAAAGCAUGCCACAAUCCCAGAGUGAUUAACAACCAAAGACAGCAGACGAAUUAUCAAUGGAACAGGAUACUCGGAAAAUGACCUGCUUGGGCAAACAAGCAUGUUCCCAUAAUCACCACGAGCACAACUCCGAGCGAAAUCCAAGGCCACUUGCCACCCAAGGAGUGCCCUAUAACCACAUCAGGCCAAUCCCAUCCUUUUGACUUCACCAAAUCAGCCAAAUCUCGAGCCGCACUCCUAUAGUAUGCGGUGGCGACAGUCCUGUUAUCUCGGCCGACUUCCCGUGAUUCCUCAAAUCCACCAUCACCAUCCUCCAUCCUAUCUCAAAUUCAAAAACACCCCAAAGACAAAAGCGGAAAAUAAUUAGCUCAGAUCACAUGGUUGUAAUGCAAUGUCCGAUAGACAUUCGUAAAUGUACCUGAAAGAGAGGAAGCGAAGGAACGGGAGAAGGAGCGCCAGUUGCGACCGGAGCCUAAGAGGCCGUGAAGUAUGAAAGCUGUAUAAGUGUAGGGCUUGUCUGGGGAGGAUAAAACUUCUUCGAAAGCUAGGGUUCGAGGGUCCUGCUGGACUGGUGAAGGAUCGGGUUGGGGCCCGGCAAGAUUAGGAACGGUUCAGGAGUUUUGAACCGGGCUUGGUUACUAGAGAUAGAGUUCUAGACAUUGAUGGGGCUUAGAGCUGGUGGGGCGCUGUUGAAUAGGAAAAUUAAAGAAGAUGGGAACUAAGAAUGGAGACAGUAUCGUGGUGGAAGCUUGGAAGGGACGAGAAGAAGAGAAGAAAGAGACCCCAGAGGACGGAAGAAUGGUACCGUCAAGACGAUGUCGUUUCAGUGCCACAUCUCUGAAUAUCAAAGAGUACUGGUGCAAAAAUGUUGACAGCUGUGGGAUUUGAACCCACGCCCUUUCGGACCAGAGCCUAAAUCUGGCGCCUUAGACCACUCGGCCAAACUGUCUAUUUGUAUCUGUGUUCUAAAGAAAUUUUAAGAUAUUACAGUGUGCAAACGCCAUGGCUCAAAUUGCUCCAACAUGGGGUUGCGAACCCUGUGAUGCGCACCAAAAGUGUAUCUAAAUAGGAAUAAUUUCAGAAAUCUCCCCUGAGGUUUCUAAAAAUUUUAUUGACCUCCCCUGAGGUUUUCACAAUUACACUAACCUCCCUUGAGGUUUAGGAUUUUGUAACAAAAUCAGCUCAUGAUAUCAAAAGUAAACAUAAAAAAGUAUUUAUAGGAAAGAGAGGGAAAUUUGUUCCCAUAAAUGCCCCUGAGGUAAGUGUACAAGUUAUAUUAGUGAAAUAAUGAAAACUAAUAAAAACCAAAAAUAAAUUAGAAAAAAUGAGGGAUAUUAGUGAAAUAAGGAGAAAGGUGGGGAUUGACCAUUUAUACUUGCACAAAGCUGUAGUAACAGCUGCUGCUAUUUUUUGUAAAGCUACGUACAUCAUCUACCAGUACCAGAGACAAAAUGCUAAUGAAGUAGACUAAGAAAUUUCCUUUAUUAUAUCCAAUUGUCAUCAAGAUUAAUAAUAGUUUUGAAAAUACCCUUUUCAUGAAAAAUUUAUAUAUAAUACUGGGAUUAUAAUUGAGAAAGCAGUUAAAUAAAUGCAAUUACAAUUAUAAUGUAAAAUAAAUGCAGUUAAAUGUAUAAUAUUGGGAAUAUUUAUUGAGAAAGCAGUUAAAUAUGGUUUGUUUGGAUUGAGCAUUAUUUGUCAAAUUAUAUCUGCUUACAUCAUCAUUACAAUUUCCAACGCACCUUUUUAUCUUCCCAAUUACCUUUUUAUCUCACAUAUAUCACAUCAUAAAAAUGCUACAGUAAAAAUAUCCCAAAUAACUUACAAUCCAAACAACCCCAAUGGGCGAUACUUUACAGUUAAACGAAGACAUUUUACAGUUAAAUGGUUCUACCGCAGUUCUACCGAAUCAACAUAACAAAAAUUUACAGCCCAAGACACGCACAUAAACUGAUAUGUGCAUAUCAAAAAUUUAAAUCUUAUCUCAUUCAAUAGGCGAUACUUGUGUGUACAUUUCCACUAAAACCCCUACUAAAUAACACCAAAACCAAUUACAUUUGUAGGGAUAGCAAUUGGGCAGACACCCGCCCCGUGCGAGAUUAAUAAAUUUCAAGAGGUGUAGUUUAUAGGCAAAUGAGUAUUACCAAUUCAAAAUACCAGCUCUUUAUGGGCAUUGUACUUUCAAACAUUUAAUUUAUGAUAAACACAUCGAUGUUUGUAAAUAAAAUUUAAAAAGUGUUACAGUAAUAUUCUUACAAAAAGAAACUGGUAGGUUAUCUAUUUAAUAUAAAUUAAAUAUAUUUUUUUUAAAAAUGGUCCAUAAAGUAUUAACUCUUUAUGACUUUUUUCCAUUACAUGAACAAAAUAUCGGUUCUUUAAGGGCAUUUUACUCUGAAUCAUUUAAUUUCUGUUAAAUACAUAAAUGUUUGUAACUAAAAUUUGAAAAGUGUUCCACUAAUAUAUUUAUGAAAGGAAACUGGUAGAUUUUGUAUUUAACAUAAAUUAAAUAUGUCAAAGUAAAAAAAGAUAUUGCACAUAACAUACCAGUUCUUUAUGACUUUCUUCCAUUACAUGAACAAAGUAUCGCUCUUUAAGAGCAUUUUACUCUGAAUCAUUUAAUUUCUGUUAAAUACACAAAUGCUUGUAACUAAAAUUGAAAAAGUGUUACACUAAUAUUUUUACGAAAGAAAAACUGGUAGAUUUUGUAUUUAACAUAAAUUAAAUAUGUGAAAAUGAAAAAGAUAUUGCUCAUAACAUACUAGCUCUUUAUGACUUUCUUCCAUUACAUGAACAAAGUAUUGGCUCUUUAAGGGCAUUUUACUCUGAAUCAUUUAAUUUCUGUUAAAUACAUAAAUGUUUGUAACUAAAAUUUAAAAAGUGUUACACUAAUAUUUUUACGAAAAAGAAACUGGUAGAUUUUAUAUUUAACAUAAAUUAAAUAUGUGAAAGUAAAAAAAGAUAUUGCUCAUACAUACCAGUUUUUAUGACUUUCAUCCAUUACAUGAACAAAGUAUUGGUGCCAGUUGGUUAUACAAUUUUUAUUAGCAAGAUUCCAACUGUUAAGUUGGUUAAUGAAAUUGAAAGUUCAAAUUUGACCCUAAUGACUUAUUUAUCAGAUUUUAGUCCUAUAAUAACACAAAAUGUCUUGGGUAUAAUAGUAAUUUCGCAUUAUAUGAUGUCAGCAAUUGGGUCCCAAGUUCCGCCAAGGGAGGUUUGUGUAAUUGUGGAAACCUCAGGGGAGGUCAAUGAAAUUAUCAGAAAGAUUUCUGAAAUUAUCCCAUCUAAAUAAUAAAACUGUGUUGAUUGCACUUUAUCAUUUUUAUUUCUUGGAUGAAAAAAUAGUACAUUUUUGUCAUCUUCAACUAGUUUGGAUAACGGCUUACUUUUCAUUUUAUUUCUAGUUUUUUUUUUUUUCUGUGGCCAAAUGCUAAGCUUGGAAAAGACAGCUUCAGAAGAAGCAUAUACUUGUACGCCAGUCUCUUUUCUUCCUAGAAAUCAAAUUCCGAGGUGCAAAUGCAUACAACUAAAUUCUUUAUUUAAGCCUUUCCCCAAAUAUUUGCAAGCGAACGGGCAGCAAACUGGGCUGAAUCUCAUGCAGAACCACUGGAUCAACGGCUCAGUGGCCACCAAGGAGGUUAGGUAAGAGUUCAAACUUUACCUGGAGCAAAAAAAAUUUAAGAAUUAUGCCAUAACAUUUCCUUGAUCUAGUUGGAUCUGUAUAUCCACUAGCUUCCUACCACAGUCUCCUUAGACUCCCCCUCUCCCUAGAGUAGAAUAGAGUAAGUUUUACAAAUGUAUCGUUACUGACAAAAAAAAAGAAUAUCAUGCAGAAGAAUAGUAUCGUCGCCUUUCUAAGAUAUAUAGUAAUAAAUCGUCGUGUAUUUUUUAACUUUUCAAAAUGGGACAAAUUAACCAACUUGAACAUUUUAUAUUGAUGUCGGAUUUGUCCAGAAAGUAAUCAAUACUUCGACAUUUUGAUCAACUUUCAAAUUCCCAUUUCCACAGGACCUCUGGUUGAACUUCAUCUUCCAUUUCAACUUCUGAUAUCAUCCAAGCCCGUUUGCUCAGAGGACUGCCCUUAAUCGAAGGGAUCUAUUCGAGGGUCAUGUUCACUUGCCAUGGCCAUCCCAGUGCAAAGGCAUGUCGGGCACAUCACCUAUCAAAGAGACAAGGAGUCAGCAAAAAUGGCAGAUAGAUUUUAAGGAGCUGGAAAUCAACUGAAAGCAUGCAAUCAGCAUUCAGUGUAAAAUAUAUAUAUAUAUAUAUAUAUAUAUAUAUAUAUAUAUAUGUCAACAUUCUGCGGUGCCAAGGCUAAUUUCCAACAGAAUAAGCAGCAUGAUCUGAUGCCAAAAAACACAAGAUAGGUCAUAGUCUUUUUUAGCUAGGUAAAUUUCACUUUGCGAGAGGUGUGUUGAAUAUUCACCGAUGUUCACAAAUUAUGCAAUUAACAAGUCACAUACCUUUCCUGAGCCUGAGCAAUUUUGACACCUCUGAGUAGUUGGUCCAUGCAAUUGGCGGAUGGAAUCACUGCAAGUCGAGAUGGGUUCGAAUUUUAAGCACGUACCACUAGCAGAACAACGGGCGCAUGCCAAGUAUCCUUUUGACAUUACAGUGCAGACAGAGAAGUAAUGGCUAACAACGAUCAGAUAUCGAAAAUAAAAUUAAUUGCAGAACAAUGUAACUGUAACAUAGCAUAGCAUUCAAAUACAUUUUGCAAACCAAAGUAAAAAAGCAAAUGAACAGUUGUAAUUCAAUUAGAGAUAUCUUAGCAUAUUUCAUUACACCAAAUUAGAAUGUUUUCAAUUGACAUUAACCUGGAAAUUGUUUAGAAAAAGAAACCAUGGCUUCUCUAAGCCUUAGCGGUUAAUAAAGAGCUAUUUACGAAAAAGAAAAUAUUCAUUUAACAAGAUACCAGGUCUUGGGUGGAAGGGGAGUUUUUGAAAGGCCAGAAAGAAGCCUUCACAAGUUUUUGUGCUUACCACUUCCAUGGCAAUACUUGCAUCUUUUCUUCUCUUGUUGCUCAACAUUGUUCACUUCUAUUACAUCAAAGCAGAAAUAACCCCCACUGCGCCUCCUGAAAAGGAUGCCACUAUUGGAUCGACCUGACUGAAUAUACAAGGAGAAGAUUAUUCAAAACAUCCACCAAAUGAACUGUAUAUGGCAGAGCAACUGCCAACCAAAGAAUGCUGCUAAAAUAAUGUACAGAGAUAUUAUUAAGAAACUUUUGAUUCCUGACAUAUAAUUUUUGUAUUAUUGUAACCUUAAUUGCAUAGGCAAAUGCAAAGUGUGGAUGAAAUCUUCAUAUGACGUGCCACCCAAACCUAAUUUCAGCUCCAACUGCCAUGUGAAACUGCUCCAUAAGUCGCAAAACAAUAAUGUAGUACUAUGCAAGUAGCACAGGUGAAUUCGUCGAAUCAUUCAGGUCUUAGAAUACAGUUGACUUCCACUUUUUUUAUAAUCUCUAUCCACUGUACAUGCAUGCAUCAACUUUUGUUCAUAUUAUACCUUCCCAGCAGGAAAAUUGGUUGCAAUCUUACAUCCAAAACUAACAACUUCAUCUUAAGCUCUCUAAUAUUGUGAAUCUGUCCUGUUUCUGAGAUGGACAAGAACAAUAUGCAGCAUAAUUGUAGAACUACCUUCAAGAAAAUAGACAAUUGUACUUUCAAACUAAUUCUUACAAGCCAUCAUACACGAGCACAAUUAGUUUGAUCAGUCUGAUCAAAUACACCUGAAAUGGUGUAUAAAUCUAUAUUAGACAAUCAGACCUGUGCAGUUUUUAGAUUAUGUCUAACUUCAAGUAAAUCCAGUAGAAAGCACAUCAAGCAAGAGGUCAUUCUUAUUGCUUUCAGAUAUUAGACCUUUUUUUCAUAAGAACGAACCAAAGCAAGACAGAUAAUACAAAUGGUAUAAGUUUUGCACAAUAGCAACAGCAUAUACAGUAGUUUGUGGAUGAGAAGGCUCACAGUUGGUGCAAUAAGCCCCCCAAAGACAAUUAUUCCAGAUACAAAUGAAAAACUUGUUAGAUAGAGCUGCUUCAGCGUCUUUGGCGUCUACAUCAAAGGAAAAAGAUGUAUUCCUAAGUUAGUAUUGGACAGCAUGACAAAGAAGAGAAAAACAACAAUCUAGGACUCAAUCAAGAAGAAUGAUAUAGAACAAGAAAAUAGUAGACAAAAUCUCUUUAAAGUGCAUCUGCGUCCAUCAUGACCUGGUUAUAGAGGCUAAUGCCAUAAUGCACAUGUCAAAUCAUGCAUUGAGCUACUUGUGACUAAAGUUGCAAUUGUGAAGAUAUAGAGAGGAUUAAUUACAAUAGCUCACAAAAACUGUAGAGUUAGUAGAAACGAGUACAUAUCUGUUUCUGUUAUACAGCUAAGGAUUAUCAGCAGGGAUUAUAUGCUUCAUCAAAUUUCAACCUAGACAUCUAUUGACUAAAGCUGAUAUUCCUUUCCCGACAUAAAAAGCUUCAAUCCUGUUUGCCUAAGCAUAAAUGCGUUGAGUUUCAUCCCUCAGGGAAUUCAUACUUAAAAAGCACAGAUAAAUUUCAGAGAAUCACCACAUGGGGGAGAAAAGGAAUUGAUGAGGGGAUAUCAGGCAUCUCAUUUUCCUGUUCACCCGUCCCAUCAGAAACUUUUAUGCUCUUUAUGUGUUGUUGUACUCUUAACCUCCGUACCUACAUGUAUGAGAAAAAGCUUAGCAGAUCAUUUCCUACAAACAUCGAAUGAUUAAAAUUUGCAAAUUGUACUAGAGAAUAUACUAUUCCCUUUCUGAAAGCAAGGAGAAAACAAACCUCCUCCAUGAGGAGAAAGAUUUUAUUGCGCCUGCUCCUAAUGUUCUCUUGUAUCUCCUGCAGCUGCAUUUGUACAAAAUCCUCAACUGUUUCUGGCCCUUCUAUAAUGCAGAAACUGCUGUGAAUAUGAAGAAAACAUUUUAAUAAUCUGAGAAAAGUUGAAUAUAUACAGAGCCAGCCAUAUUGACCAAUACAACCAGUAGGCAGUCUCACUCUUCUUUAAAAAUAAAGGUCUUUGCGAGACAAAACACCAAUUAGCACCCGUCCCAAAAGAAACGUUAUUAUAUACGAAGAAAAGCUUAUCUAAAUCGGUAUGAAAUUAGAGCUUCCAAAUCCUACAAUCCAAACAUGAAUAAAAAGACAUCCAUAAUAUUCAGAAAUCAUACCCUCACCCAAAGAAGCCCAUACAAAAAAUGGUAUAGAAAGUUGAGAAAUUGGAGACAUCAACCUUGGGAUAUUCUCCCCAGAAGGCAUAGAAUUGGGAUCAUCUGUAGAGGAACAUACUAUUCUUUGAGGUGUGGAAGACUUGUUGAGCAAAGCUCCGCCUUGGGGUCUUGCAACUCUGGAAGAGCUCAAGAAACUAAGGUUCUUGGAGAAAUUAACAUGUGAAGGAUGCAGUGAUGGCACCAAAGAGUAUAGACACGAAGAAGAACCCAUAUCUUCCCCAAGCCACUCUACAAUGAUUUUCCUGAUUUCAUUUACAACAAAUUAAUAAUGCCUGACACAGAAGAAGAUUGCGCAAGAGGAAAGGGGGAUUAGGGAUGAAGGGUGUGGGGCUUUGUCUGUACGCAGAGGAGUGUGGGUAUGGCAUCUCAGAAGAAUCCAGAUGGAGACGACAGGAAUCCAUCCAUUAUGUUGCUACAGAAGCCGGCAAGUCACCCAAACCUCUUUGACCACAUGAAUGGAGUUGCAAGUUACAAGCUUUUCAAUUUCGGUUAUGCACAUGCGGCCAGCCCAAAACUUUCAGGGUGGCUUCAGAUGGCAGAGUAAGGCCCGCUCCAGCCCCGCAUAGUACAUCUAUAAAUUUAUCCUCGCCCUGCAUCAUAUUUAUCUAUAAAUUUUAUAUACAAUUCACGGGUAUAUUAUGUACAUAAAUAAGUAAAAUAUGUACAAAUAUGUACAAUAUGUAUAUGUGUACAUAGAUAAGUAAAUAUAUGUUCUUCAAUGCUUAUUAUAUAAGUUAUCCAUUUUUUUUCAAAUAGUUUGUAAUCUUAACGUAAUUUCCUCAUACUGUGUUUCAAUAUCUUAUUUCAUUUGUUCACGUGAAAAUACAUACUUCCAAUAAAUGAAUUUUGCGAAAGAUAAAGCCAAUGUAAGAUUGUUAGGAACACAGGGUAGGGGUAAGGCUUAAAUGAGCCAGCACUGGGACCAGAAUUAAAUUAUUUAAGCGGGGCCAGGGGAUGAGGAUUAAAUAUAAAUAUGAUGAAUGCCGUCAUCUUUUUAGAAUUAAUCAAAUCUUUCUUGCACUGCCUGACGGGAUUGGUUGAAUGGCACGUCAUCUGAAUUUAAAUUUAAAUAUCAAAUUUUACUUAUUGGCAUGUAUCUAAACUCGCUAGUGUAUAUACUAUCAGUGUAUAAAAAAAUUUAUUCGUCUUUUUAUCUGUUUAAUAUAAUAAAGAGUUUGACGUUUUUUUUUUUAAAAAAAAAAGCGUCAUUAUUUGUUAUUUUAAAAAUUAAUGAACACUACGUUACCUUAAAAAAAAAACUUUCUAAUUAAUUUUUAUUCCGUCUUUUUUGUUAUUUACUUUCUUCUAAAAGACGCACCCACUAGUCUAAACACGAUAGCACCUUGGCAAAGACUAUUUCCCAACUGUUAAAAGUGGAAGGGACCUCAGACCAUUGCAUCUCCUCAUUCGGCUUUCGUAGUCAUUUACACGAUCCAAUCCGAGCGAGAACUUAUCGGCGGCCAUUAAUACCAUUUACGAAAAGAAAUAGACUAAUAGAAAUUGGUGAAGGAUGAUAAUACAGUAGUAUAUCUCUUUGCAUCUCAUCUCCCUUCACUCCAGCCCCACAAGUCGGAUCUUGUGAAGCUAAGGAUGACAGAGGAUUAUGUCAACUAGCAUGUACACAUGAAGGUUAACGUAUAAUUGCAUUGACUAGAGUCUUUAACAUGAAAACAUAAAUCUGGAAAGCAAGUAUGAAGAUGGCGCAAUGUAACAAGGUACAUUCCUUCUACCAAUGCGGUAAUGCAUGGCUAUUUAGUCUGGCAUAUAGUAAUAUCCAUUCAGAGGUAAUUGUAAAUUUGUAGUCUAUCUAAACAGCAUUAGUUAAAGUUUAUACUCUGGCAAUUUCCACUGAUUUUUGAAGAGCUGCUAGAAGGCUUCUCAUGAUUCUUGGCUCUCCAGGAGGUGACUGAGCUUUCAAAGGUCCAUUCCUUAUGGCC